rnacentral:lncRNA from 1 species
UGGCGAAUGAAUGGUGUAUGGUGAUGAUGGUGAUAACAAUGGUGAAAGUCUAAUUCUACUUUUGCUCUUUUGACGGGAUACAUACCUUCCUUGCUUUUUGAAACUUUAUGAGGAGAAUGAGAUGCUCUUCUUUUUCUUUCCUCUCUGGUGGGUAUCUUGUACCCCUAAUUCUACUGUCGGACACUUGUCCAUUUUUACCUCUCGUCUCACUUUUUCUUUCUUUCGAGGUUCUGGGCACUUGCCCCUUUUUAUUUCCUCGUUUAUUUUUUUUCUUUUCUUCUCUUUUCUUUUUUUUUCAGAGCACUCAUCUCUUGAGAUAAUAUAGCAAGUGGUAGUAGCAGGAUAACUUAAGCAUUUAUUUCACAAGGGAAAACAAAAAUAUUUUUUGCUAUUCUCUCCCGGAUUAGGAGUAGAAUAUUUUUGGGUGAUUCUGGAGAUGGACAUGGAUGGAUAUAUGUGGAUGGUACUUCCAGAGUAGAAGUAGCAUAUAUGAGUGAACGUGCAAGUGAAUCUUGAUUUAACCACAUGACAAGCUCCUAAGGGUCUACACAGCUUGACCACACUCAAUGCUCAUAAGCAGUAAAUAGUAAAUGUGUGGCUCAAAGUCUAGCAAGCAUGUAUAUAUGGCUGUGGUAGGAAUUUAAACUCUCAUCAUACAGAAACUCAUCAUGGAAUAUUUUAAAGAUUUUUCAAAGAUGAAAUUCUCCAGAAUUCUAGCAUCUCUAGGAACAGAUAAACAGCAGCUCAACCUUCCCAUAUCAUAUCCGUUAACAACUUAGACUUCAGAUCAAGUUUUCAUCCCACAAGUUUAGGUCUAGAGCAAGCUUUAAAUUAUAACAGUUAUGUCUAAACUUGAGAGAGAACUUCAAAUUUUAAAAAUUAAGCAGACCAACUAUUCAUCAUAUCCAUGCUAGAGUUUUAUUAUUAAGAUUCAGAUUAGCAUAGCCACUUUAUUUAUUUAUUCAACACACUAAGCAAAAGAUAUAUCUAUAAGCACAAAAUCUUUAUUUGAUUUUUCAUAGUUUAUGUAUUUUAAUAUUCUAACAUAAUAUAAGUGAAGGGUCGAGAUGGCGGACUAGAGGGGGGUGAAUAGUCCUUUCUAAAACUUAUUACGCCGGCUAACCGAAACAAGUGCGGAAUUAAAACUAUCGGUCUAGCCAAGACUACACCCCUCUAUCUAAGUUCUCUAGCACCUUGUAAAAGAUCCUAAACAAGCAAACAAGGUGCUACCUUAGCAAGAGCUCACCUAACCAAUUCUAGGAGCAAGGUCACACAAACCUAUGCAACUAGUACUUUGCAAACCGAGGGAGCUCCUAUACAAACUAGUGAGGCAAAGUGCACAAAGCCUAAUCUCACUAGCAAGCUCAAUAACAAGGCAACUAAUGCCAAAUUAGAGAGCGCAACUUACUUAGCUACACAAACUAAGCAAUGUGACUAACAAGGUUACACAAACCAAAUUAGUCAGGCAAGGGAACUACUUCUAGCUACACAAGCAAGAAGGUAACUAGCAAGCUACACAAGCUAACUAAUUACAAGAACAACUGCACAAGCACAAGUAUAUGAAUGUAAGAAUAAGCUUGUGUUAGGGACUUGCAAACCAACGGGAAGAACAAAUGUUGACACGAUGAUUUUCUCCCGAGGUUCACUUGGUUGCCACCAAGCUACGUCCCCGUUGAGACAUGCUCCAAGGUUGCCGCCGGUCCUCUUGCUAGUGGUGACCCGCAAGUCACUCUCUCCCACGUGGAGUGCUUACCACAAGCUCUAGCACUUGACCCGGCCGGACCACUUGUCGCUCUUCACGUCUCGCUCAACUAGAGUUGCUCUUCGCGAUCCCCGCGGGGUGAGCACCGUACCCCUCACAAUCUCUUCUCCGGAGCACCGCACAAUCUCCUUGCGUGCUUCGACGGAGUCACAAGCCACCAAGCCGUCUAGGAGGUGGCAACUUCCAAGAGUAACAAGCACCACCGGCUUGCAACACGAACACCUAGUGCCACUCGAUGCAAUCUCUCAAUGCAACGCACUAGAAUCACUCACUCGCUAUUGAUUCGCGCUCUUGCAAGCACAAGUGAGUUAGAGGCUUUCCUAGCACUCCCCAAGCANNNNNNNNNNNNNNNNNNNNNNNNNNNNNNNNNNNNNNNNNNNNNNNNNNNNNNNNNNNNNNNNNNNNNNNNNNNNNNNNNNNNNNNNNNNNNNNNNNNNNNNNNNNNNNNNNNNNNNNNNNNNNNNNNNNNNNNNNNNNNNNNNNNNNNNNNNNNNNNNNNNNNNNNNNNNNNNNNNNNNNNNNNNNNNNNNNNNNNNNNNNNNNNNNNNNNNNNNNNNNNNNNNNNNNNNNNNNNNNNNNNNNNNNNNNNNNNNNNNNNNNNNNNNNNNNNNNNNNNNNNNNNNNNNNNNNNNNNNNNNNNNNNNNNNNNNNNNNNNNNNNNNNNNNNNNNNNNNNNNNNNNNNNNNNNNNNNNNNNNNNNNNNNNNNNNNNNNNNNNNNNNNNNNNNNNNNNNNNNNNNNNNNNNNNNNNNNNNNNNNNNNNNNNNNNNNNNNNNNNNNNNNNNNNNNNNNNNNNNNNNNNNNNNNNNNNNNNNNNNNNNNNNNNNNNNNNNNNNNNNNNNNNNNNNNNNNNNNNNNNNNNNNNNNNNNNNNNNNNNNNNNNNNNNNNNNGUCCACACCGGACGCGUCGGUGCCACCGGACUCGUGCGCAGAGAGCUCCGCAAAGUCGCACGGUCAUCGGACGCAAGGCACCGGACGCACCCUGAGCGUCCGGUGCUCACCGGACUCAUGCGCAGUGAGGGUCGCCAAACCGCUCGCACACCGGACGCUGAGCACCGGACUCUCUCCGGUGCGUCCGGUGCACUCUGCUGCACCCGACAGCACACCAGACGCUAAAGGCCAGCGUCCGGUGCCUCCACGCAGAGCGUCCGGUGAGUGUUUCCUACUGAGAAACACUCCCGCAACUUCUCCAAAUUUUCCACCGGCGCAAUAGAAAAUAUACACUUAUUUUUCUCAAAAGCGCCGAAUCCCGCCUCGCAAGCUCGGCGGGAGGGAGAGAGGAACCCACACGCCUCUCAACCCUAGGAACUCCACCUCCUUUGUAGAUGUGCCAACACCACCAAGUGUACACCACCAUGUGCAAGUGUGUUAGCAUUUUCACAAACAUUUUUCCAAGGGAGUUAGCCUUGCCACGCCACUCGAUCCUAACACGUAUGCAAAGUUAGAUCGCUCAAGUGGCACUAGAUGACCGAUAUGCAAACAAGUUUGCCCCUCUUGAUAGUACGGCCAUCUAUCCUAAAUCCGGUCAUAAACUUCUCUACCCACCUAUGACCGGUGAAAUAGAAAUGCCCUAGGUUAUACCUUUGCCUUGCGCAUUCCAUUCCAUCUCCUCCAAUGUUGAUGCAACACAUUCACCAACCAAUCACCAAAUGAUAUGAUCCACUUCAUAUCAUCACGUGACCGUAUUGGUUCAUCGAUCUUGACCUCACUUGCUCUUCACCGUUGCCUCGGUCCAUCGGCGCCAAGUCUUGCUCAAGCUUCACCGUCACACGCGGUCCCUCGCGUCAAAGCCUCCGACUUGCCCUUCACUCUUGCAACCGGUACAUCAAGCCAAGCCUCAUCUUGAUCUUCUCCACCUUGGUCACAUGACUCCAUGUCAUGUCUCAUAUGCAAUGAGCUCCUCCAUCAUCACAUCAUCACCUGUGGACUAAUCUCCUGUAUAUCUCAUAUAAACACUAUUAGUCCACCUAAGUUGUCACUCAAUUACCAAAACCAAACAAGGACCUUUCAAUAAGUAUAAAGAUAGGUAGAAAUACUUAGCGAGAUAAAUGGGGGUGCUCUCCCCCAAGCUGAAUUUUGACGUAAUUUCUCUUGAUGUAGCUAGCAGGUGGCAGAGGUGUAUUUGAAAGUCAGCAGCAUUCUGACAGCGAUUAAAAUGUCCUCCGUCUCCUAGUCUUCUUGAUUCUUAAAUUCUGUGGAGCUUAAAUAGACAACAAAGCUUGUGAAACUAAUUAAGUGUUAGCAUAAAUAUCUAGCCUUCAUCAUGUUGAGCUUCCUCAAUAAAUAUUACUCCGAGUUUCUAUAUUUUUAUUUUAUAAAGCAAAAAAGAAAUAUUUAUUUUAUUUUUAUGCCACCACAGUGAAGGUACUUAUGGGUUUUAUGCCACUCGUAUACUCACAUGGGGCUUAGUAUUUUUUAACAUUUUUAUUUUCUUUUCAAGAUAGCAUGAUUAACUAAUAAUCUAUUUAAGGAAAGUAAAUAAUUAAAGGGAAAAGGGAAUGCAGAAAGGAUAAAUAUGGAUAACUACUGAUCUUACCUUUCGGCGAGGGUUCAAUGUUUUAAGUCUUCUUAACAAGACUUCUCACCGUGUUCAUUCUUCAGGUGCGUCAUUUGAUUCAGGUGCGGACCUUGACGUCUGCACCUCUUCGUUUGCCCAGCAGUUCAAAGUGUGGCGUUGGCAGUGUCCUGCUCAGUGUGUUUGUGCUCGUAGAUCCAGAUCCUUCACUUGGUAGAGUCUAAGAGUUAUAAAACUCCUCCGUGUUUUGCUCAAAGUGCACCUGCUUAUAGAGACAAGGCAGAGAUCAAGUGCAUGGGUCCUGUUGGUGGAAAACACCAACAGAACCUAAAGUGUAUUUGUUCUUCUCUAUCCCUAAGCAUAGUGAGCAAGACAAAGUUGAUGGAUGAAAGUUCAUGAGUGUAGCACUUAUAACAUUAGUCAGAUCAGAUUACUCAACCUUAUGGAAAGACAAUCUAUCUAUGUAUAUGUCUUUUUCUUUAUAUCUCUCAAAGAUUGAAUGUGUAGCAUUUUAGCUCAUAUGAUUAGGAGUGUGGGUUCAUGGAGGUAGUACUAAGAACAAGGAUAAAAGGACUAAACAUGUUGAAUCAGUUGGGUUGGUUAAUCUAGAGUUGUAAAUCAUACAUGUUUGUCUCUUUUGUUUAUAUGAACGCUAGAACCAAGAGAAGCUUAUAAAAGUGAUAGUCAAGUAUCUUAAGAUGUUACCUUGCUUGAAGAGUGAUGGUACAGUAUCACCUUGUGGAAGCUUUUCUUUCUUAGCGGUUGUGCAUCGUGUUUGUGGCACCCUCCAUGGAUCAUCUCUCUAUGAUGAAUGAGCUAUGUCCUUCUUGUGCAAAUUGUUAAACUCAUCUGUCACUCUCUUCGUCUCUGAUGUGAGUUUAUCUCAGGACUUCCCAAAUCAAUAUUGAAAGUUUUUCUGCAGGGGUUAGUCUGACAAAAAUAUACCAAUGUCUACACAAGAAGUUUUUAGUUCAAUAACCGAACUAGACUCCAUGUCUAAUCAGAUUAAGGAAGGCUAUUUAACCUAAGCACCAUGCUUAAUUUAAAAGCCAAUAGAAGUAUGUGCAGUACUGCCAAACUAACACUUACUAGUAAAUAGACAAAGGUAACAUGACAGCAUUUAUAGAGAUCUACUCAAGUGGAGAUGAAGUAGUGUGAUUAGUAUUUAACAAAUUGAGCAUGUCUUAAAGGUAGGGACAACCAACAUAGCAACAUGGAAAAUGAUGUUUUUAUGUAAAGUACUCCCCCAAGCAUGAAUUUUGCAGAAUUCAAGUUUGGAUGAAUUUAAUUCAGUGUUCCAUGAUGAUUGGUUGGACAUACCUUGUACUUGCUUGUCAUUCAUCUGUUCUUCUUGUUCCAAUCCUAGAAAGGUUAGUGACAAGAAUACCCGAAGGAAUAUUUUUACAAUUAUCCUUAUAUGCUCAAUACACAAGGUAAUGUUGCAAAUAAUUAAAAACUCAUGUUAUGAUCUGAUCAGUGCUUAUUUUAGGACACCAAGCUUGUCCUUGGGAAACCAUCAAUUUAUGUCGGCGAAGUGGUUUCCCUUCCAACACUGACCUAAAUCAAGAUCUACUCAACGAGAUCUGCAAUAUUUAUUAUAGACAUAUGCAUCGACAACCGCCCUUUUAAAGUUUUUAUAAAUAGAAAGGAAGAGGGGGGUUGGAGAUCUCAAAUGUGGUGAUGUUGGAGAGACCAAUAGAUUGGGAAGAUGUUGCAUAUGAGCAUGGAGUAGACAAAGUGGCUAUGAAAUAAAUUCCAUGCUCAUUAAUGUUAUCUUCGUCUCUAAUCUGAAUGUUUAGAGUUUCUCUUGGAUUGGUCUCACUUAUGUCCUCUUCUAUAGUUGGAUGAAUCCCAUCUUCAAAGGGAGUCAAGAACUCACCAUUUGAAAUUGAACCAAAGUCAGAAUUCAUUAAGGCUUCUUCCUUAUCCAUCCAUUCUACACAUUCUAGCCAUUUAGAACUUGUGAUCAGGAAAGGGGAGGUGUUAGAAUAUUCAAUAUGGCUUAGCUCUCCUUCACUUGAUAUGUCAUCCUCAACUUCUUCAUAACAGGAACCAGGACAUUCUCUAAGAGAACCAUUAUUGCGAGGAUUUGAAUUAUCCCUGCUUGAAGGUCUCUUAUGGAACCAGAAGUCUAAACCAUCAGCAUCUGAAAGAUUUAAGGUCGGAAUUCCUUCCUCCCUUGGAGAAUUUUGGGGUAUUGAUGGUUUAGGAUCGAUAGCUAAAGUUUGGAAUUGAAAUGGUUGUGAUCUGGCUAUCAAAACUUCUUCUUCUUGUCUAGGACCUGGUUCUGUCUCUUUCUCAGGAAUAUAAAAGCUAGGAGACUUUCCGCUCAUUAAAUCAGUCAAAUUCCAAGCUUCACUAGCGGAUAGGUGGUGGAAAGAUCCUCCAGAGGCCGUAUUCAAGGUUUGCUUAUUUUCCCCACUAAGUCCCUCAAAAAAGUGAAUUAGAAGAACUUCUUCUGGAAUAGAGAGCUUUGGGCCAGUGAGAGUAAGGUUAAUAAAGCGGUCCCAUGAUUUCCUUAGAGAUUCUUCUUCCAGUUGUCUAAAAGAAAUAAUCUCACACCAAAGUUCCGCCACUUUGGAGAUUGGAAAAUAUUUAGAAAGAAAACUACUAUAUAACUCCUUCCAAUCUCUAUGAACACUCCCUAUUUUGAGUUUGUACCAAUGUCUAGCUUUUCCCGUUAAAGAGAACGGAAAGAGCUUCCAUUUGAGGGUCUCAUCGGACAUUCCUUCUAUGCGAAGGAGGUCACAGACUCGAUAAAACUCUCUUAGGUGUGUGUAUGGGUUUUCCUCACCUUCUCCUGAGAAAGGUUGUUUUUGAACAAAUUCUAUGUAUUCGGGGUCUAUCUCAAAACUAGAUGCUAUGAUAGGCUUUGAAGAUUUUGGUGGUUCAAGAUGUGUGCCCGUAGGUCUAUGAAAUUCAUAAAUAGACAUGUUUGAAUUCAUGAUAGACCAGAGAUCAAGUAUUAGAUAAGAAGAAAGAUUAGCAGAGAUGAGGCAAAGGAUAAAACGAAAAUAUAUUUUUUUUAUUUUUUAGAAAAUGAUUAAGCUAGUUCGUAGUCAACUCAGCAACCGAUUCCCCAGCAACGGCGCCAAAAAUGCUUGUUGACACUUGCUAACACCACUUGAAUACUAGGUUGUCAUCCCCAGCAUGGCACUAGAGAGUACUAUGGUAUUUAUACGCACACAGAUAAUCCGCAAGCGCACGGAUACCGUUGAAGCUUUUGCCCGGUUAAAGGUUUUAUCGUAUCCACAGGGAAACGGGAGAACCAACUACGCUCUAACUUAACCAAGAUAGAUGGAUAGGUGUAAAUAGGAAAGAUGGUAGAAUUGAAUAAGAACAAUAUUAAAGGUAAGAUAACAAUAGGUGAUAAUAUGGGAAUAGAGAGUAGAGCAAUUCUAUUAUAUGGGCGAUGGUAGCAGAAUAGAGAGAAUAACUAUGGUUUCUCUACUUCAAAGGGGUAUGUCUAUGUCUGGGACGAACCACGUGAUAAGAGUACACCACAAAGGAUGCUUAUCCUUAGGCCGAUAAACCCUACCCGUCCUACUAACGAGAGGUGGACUACAGAGGACCAACGUAACUGUCACCUACGCGGCCUACCACACGAUCCAGCUAGACAAGGGAUAUCCACAAGUAAUCUAGGUCUAAGCACCACGCUUACACCUAUACUACAACUCUAACCUAUAGCGUCCUAUAGAUUAGAAGUACUCAAAAGAGUUGUGAACCAGAACAUACAUGAUUAGUAAUUGCAUAAUGAAUUAGAAGUAGAUUACCAGAGUCAUCCCAUGAGUAAGCUUGAUUAGUGCUUGAUCAUGACGAAGUACAACCGGAGGAAGAACCGACAGGCCGGCCUCUCCUCUAAUCCUCCUUCGCUCUCCAUCUCGCUACUAUCUAGAUCUACUCUAGUUUAGAGAAGAGAGGAGAGCUCUCAUCUCUAAACCCUAGCUUUUGCUCUGUCUAUGAAUAAUGAAUAAUGAUCAAGGGGUGCCUCCUCCAGGGGCCAGGGGGUCUGGUUUUAUAGUACCCUCAAGUGAACCGGCCGUUAGAUCAAACCGACAUAGAUUGAAUGGUUAUCCUUGAUCCUUUAGGUCGGUAGAGAUCUCCCACGAAGUAGAGUCCUGAUUGGACUCUCAGAGGGGGCGGGCGCCUUGCCUCUGGCCCCGUUUCGCCUCUGCUUCGGUCUCGUGGCUUCUGGAGUCUUCUAGAUGUAAGAUAAUUGCGCGGCACGUUAAUAUCUCUAUGUAAUCCCGACGUGUGGGCCUUUCUUCCGUAUUUCCUGAUAACCCCCUGCAGAAAUAGACAAACACCAAAACUCGUGGAAUUCUGUCAGAUAAAACCCUAAGUCUAGAUGUUGAUUUCAUUUGGAUCCUUUUCUUUGUUUAUUUGAUAAUUAAAUUUGAUACUUAAAGGACCGUCAAAUUCGGACCCGCCCAACUCUUCUGGGCGCCCGCCCAGCUACAGUGUCCAAUUCGGACCCGUUUCGCGGAUUAUGCUCCACCGUCCUAAAGGAUCAAGGAAAACCGUGCGAUCAAUGUCGGUUUGAUCCGACGGCCCAGAUUCACUUGAAGGGACUAUAAAACCAGACCCCCUGGCCCCUGGAGAGCAUACCUCUUCUACAGAAUCAAAGUUAGGGUUUCAAUUCUUCAUCCAAGUAGAGAGGAUCCCUCUAGUUCAUCUAGUUCUACCUCUAGUAAAUCUAGUUCUAGUUCUAGUUCAUCUAGUUCUAGUUCUAGUUCAUCUAGUUCUAGUUCUAGUUAGUUCUAGUUGUAAUCUAGAAAAUAGGGAGAGAGAAGAGGAGAGCGGAGGAGGAGCCGGAUCUGUCGGAUCUUCCUCAACAUUAUACUUUUGCAGCAUCUGGUUCGUUCUUCAUUGUUCUCCAGGUUCUUCAAUUCAUAAUUCCUGAGUUCUUUAAUUACUUUUAUUUACAUUCAAGUUAUUUAUUGGAUUCCCGCUUGCAUCAAGUUCUCUAGUCUUUAUAACGCUAGAGUAGUAAUUAAUAGAUUGGACGUGGUGUUUAGUCUUGCGAUUACCUGGAAUUGCACCCAAUCCUGCGGAUUGUUGUGGUAGCCUUAGGGUAGUGACAGCCCUAACGGUCGACGUAUUCCACCACGUUCGGAUCGGUGUUUGUAGGACCGUAGUCAGACCUUCCUAGCCCCCUUCUCAUCUCUUUCUGUGGUUAGUGCUCUGAUGUCCCAAUAUAGAUAAUCUUGAAGUAAUUCUUGAUUCUUAGAUCAACUAGAGAACUCUCAGGAAACUUCCUCUCUUCCCACCAAAAAUAUUCAUAUAGUUAUCCUUGGGCGAUCUUGGAUCUUAAUUAGUACACUCACGUUCCCUGUGGAAAAUCGAUACUCUGGAAUACUCCCGGGUGAAGGCUACAUCGGUAUCCGUGCGCUUGCGGAUUUUUCUGUUUGCGUUUAAAAUACCUAACAAGCUUUCUGGCGCCGUAGCCGGGGAACGAUAGCUGUGCUAGUUUUGAACCAAGUUGUCCGUGUAUCCUUUUUCUUUUCCUUUCUUACCACACUCACCUUUCAUUUUUACCAUACCACAUGGAUUUCACUCUAAGCAUUAGUGAGCAUGGAAUUUAUUUCAUAGCCACUUCAUUUACUCCAUGCUCAUAUGCAACAUCUUCACAAUCCAUUGGUCUCUCCAACAUCACCACAUUCGAGAUCUCCAACCCCCUCUUCCUUUCUAUUUAUAAAAACUUUAAAAGGGUGGUUGUCGAUGCAUAUGUCUAUAUUAAAUAUUGCAGAUCUCGUUGAGUUGAUCUUGAUAUAGGUCAGCGUUGGAGGGUAAACCACUUCACUGACAUAAAUCAAUGGUUUCCCAAGGACAAGCUUAGUGUCCUAAAACAAGCACUGAUCAGAUCAUAACAUGAGCUUUUAAUUAUUUGCAACAUUACCUUGUGUAUUGAGCAUAUAAGGAUAAUUGUAAAAAUAUUCCUUCGGGUAUUCUUGUCACUAACCUUUCCAGGAUUGGAGCAAGAAGAUCGGAUGAAUGACAAGCACAAGGUAUGUUCAACCAAUCAUCAUACAACAUUGAAUUAAAUUCAUCCAAACUUGAAUUUUGCAAAAUUCAAGCUUGGGGGAGUACUUUACAUAAAAACAUCCUUUGCCAUGUUGCUAUGUUGGUUAUCCCUACCUUUGAGACAUGCUCAAUUUGUUAAAUACUAAUCACACUACUUCAUCUCCGCUUGAGUAGAUCUCUAUAAAUGCUCUCAUGCUACCUUUAUUUGCUUUAGUAUAUGUCUAGGUUGGAGUAGUUUCAUUUAUCUCUUAAUUAAGCUUGGUGCUUAGUUCAGGAAUGAUGAUCUUACUUCCAAGGGGUUUUAAAUUAAGCAUGGUGCUUAGGUUAAAAUAGCCCUCCUGAAUCAAAUUAGACAUGGUGUCUAGGUUGAUUUUUGAGCUGAUAGUAUGCUAUAGUAGAUAUUGGAUAUUUUGUUGGACUAACCCCUGCAGGAAAACUUUCACUAUCAACCUGGGAAGUCCUGAGAUACACUCACAUUGGAGACAAAGAGAGAGACACAUGAAGUUUAACAAUUUACAUGAGGAAGGCAUAGCUCACAAGAGAUGAUCCAUGGAGGGUGCCACAAACACGAUGCACAACUGCUAAGAAAGGAAAGCUUCCACAAGGAGAUACUGUACCAUCACUCUUCAAGUAAGGUAACAUCUUAAGGUACUUGACUAUCACUCUAUAAGCUUCUCCUUGGUUCUGGCGUUCACAUGAAUAAAAGAGACAAACAUGUAUGAUUUACAACUCUAGAUUAACCAACCCAUUCGAUUCAAUAUGUUUAGUCCUUCCACCUUUGUGAUCCUACACUCCUAAUCAUAUGAACUAAAGUGUUGCACACUCAAUGUUUGGAAGAUAUAUAUAAAAAACAUAAGUAUCGAUAGAUUAUCUUUCCAUUAGGUUGAGUGAUCUGAUCUGACAAAUGUUUUAAAUGCUACACUCAUGAUCUUAUUAUCCAUCAACUUUGUCUUGCUCACUAUGCUUAAGGUUAGAGAAGAACAAAUACACUUUUGGUUUUGUUGGUGUUUUCCACCAACAGGGCCCAUGCACUUGAUCUCUGCCCUGUCUCUACGAGCAGGUACACUUCGAGCAAAAUAUGAAGGAGUUUUACAACUCCCAGACUCCACCAAGUGAAGAACCUAGAUCUACGAGCACAUACACAAUGGAGAUACUGGACACUCAGUCAAAAGAGGCGAUCCAGGACGCCCCGUCAUCCCGAUCUCCAUCGGCAUGGUGGACUUCCUAGAAGCACUCUGCGACUUUGGCUCCAACGUCAACAUUAUGCCCAAGGUACUCUAUGAAAAAAAUUCUUUACACAUCCUUUACUAGAAACAACCAUGUGCUUGUAGCCUGCAGAUCAGACACUAAGUUUCCCAAAGAGAAUAUUGAAGAACCUCUGCGUCCGAGUUGGUACCUUGUACGCCCCAGCAAACUUCGUGGUGAUAGAGACUAGUACUGAUGAGAGGGCACCCAUCUUAGGGAGGCCAUUCCUGAACACCUCGGGAGCUGUCAUCUACGUUAGUGCUGCCAAGAUCAGUUUCUACAUCAAGGGGAGGAAGGAGACGUUUUCCUUCAAGAACAAGACUACACAAAUCUCAGAGCAAUCCCGACAUGAACCAACAGGAGGAACAGAAACAAGCAAAUGUAGACCGAGUCAGCUAAGAUGGUCACUGCAGUUCAAGGAUGUCAAGAUCGUUGACUUAAGUCACCGUUCCUGACCAAAAAGGACGACCCAGUCACCUGUCAGCUCCUAUUCAGAACCAUGCCCCUAAAACCGACAUACAUUCAGCUCCAGAUGGCAGAUCAGACAUUCUGAAAGGUUGAAGAUUUUUAGGUUAUUGACAUGGGAGAAGACGAGUACGAUCCACCCAUCAUCCUUGAGAGGCCGCUCCUCAGCACCGAUAAAGCAAUCAUCAACAUUGGAACCGGAGAAGUCCACAUGCACUUCCCCUCUGAGAAGGUACGCCGCUAUUUUACUGACCCUAACUAUAUCGUUGAAGACUCUAAGCAGGUCAGGACAAGAAGAAGACGACGCAACCACAACCAGAGGAGGCAAAUCAUCAAGGACGGAUGGGUAGACAAUGAAGGAGAAGUAGUAAGGUCUGAAGACAUACAGCUUGAUCAGAACUGUCCUGAGGAGACCGUAGCACCGAGUCAAGUGUGUAGAGAGAAGAUAGUUAUACAUGAAGAGCAGGCGCCGCCGGAACCACCGACUACGCCAUCCAGCGAAUCCCAGGACGACUGAGAAAACGGAGAGUCCCGUUCGGAGGACUUAAAAACACCGAACGCCUUGCCAAGAGGUAAACUUGGUAGUUAUCUUUUUCCUUUCAAUUAUUUAAAAUAGUUUGCUUAGUUAAUCAGGUUCAUAUCAUCUUGAAAAGAAAAUAAAAAUGUUAAAAAUAGUAAGCCCCAUAUGAGUAUGCUCAUGGCAUAAAACCCAUAAGUACAUUCAUUGUGGUGGCGUAAAAAUAAAAUAAAUAUAUAUUCCUGUCCUAUAAAAAGAUUUAUGAUCCUACUAAAAAGAGUAACAUCUAUUGAGGAGGCUCAACAUGAUAAAGGCUAGAUAUUUAUGCUAACACUUAACUAGUUCCACAAAGCUUUGUUGUCUAUUUGAGCUUCACUGAAUUCAAGGAUCAAAGAAGACUAGCAGACGGAGGACAUCCUAAUCGCUGUCAGGGUGCUGCUGACAUUCAAAUACACCUCCACCAACUGCUAGCUACAUCAGAAGAAAUUACGUCAAAACCCAGCUUGGGGGAGAGCAACCCCAUUUAUCCAGCUAAGUGCUCUACUCAUGUUUAUACUUUACUCUAAUAAUAAAAUUAUGCAUAAUCAUAGAAACCCAAAUAAAGAUUUUGUGCAUAUAUAUAUCUUUGCUUAGUUUGCUAAAUAAAUAAAUAAAUAAAGUCUGCUAUAAACCAUCAUGAUAAGCUCUCACAUGGAAAUGAUGAAUAGUUGCUCUGCCAUGACUAGUUCUCAAAAUUGAAAUCUCUCUUUUAAGUUUAGGCCUGGCUGUUAUUAAUUUGCUCUAAACCUGAACUUGUGGGAAGAGUACUUGAUCUGAAGUCUAAGUCGUUAACGGAUAUGAUAUGGGAAGGUUGAGCUACUGUCUAUCUGUUCCUAGAGAUGCUAGAAUUCUGGAGAAUUUUAUCUUUGAAAAUCAUUAAAAUAACACAUGAUGAGUUCCUGUAUGAUGAGAGUUUAAAUUCCUACCACAGCCAUAUAUACAUGCUUGCUAGACUUUGAGCCACACAUUUACUUUUUACUGCUUAUGAGCAUUGAGUGUGGUCAAGCUGUGUAGACCCUUAGGAGCUUGUCAUGUGGUUAAAUCAAGAUUCACUUGCACGUUCAGUCAUACAUGCUACUUCUACUUCGGAAGUAUGCAUCCACAUAUAUCCAUCCAUUUCCAUCUCCACAACGACCCAAAAAUAUUCUACUCCUAAUCCGGGAGAGAAUAGCCAAAAACAUUCUCUUAUUUCUGUUUUUCCCUGUGAAAUAAAUGCUCAAGUUAUCUUGGUUACUACCACUUGCUAUAUUAUUUCAGGAGAUGAGUGCUCUAAAAAAAGAAAAAAAAAGAAAAAAAAAUACGAGGAAAUAAAAAGGGGCAAGUGCCCGGAACCUCGAAAGAAAAAAAAAAGUGAGACGAGAGGUAAAAAUGGACAAGUGGCCGACAGUAGAAUUAGGGGUAUAAGAUACCCACCUGAGAGAAAAGAAAAAAAAAGAGAAAAUAUAGAGCAUCUCAUUCUCCUCAAAAAAGUUUCAAAAGAGCAAGAAAGGUAUGUAUCCCCUCAAAAGAGCAUAAGCAGAAUUAGACUUUCACCAUUGUUAUCACCAUCAUCACCAUACACCAUUCAUUCGCCACACAUGCACAUCUUGAUUUGACUUAUUGACUUGUUCUUCUGGAUCCAUGGUUUGACUAUGCAAUAAAUGUCUUGUAAGUAUGUAUUAGUUGUCUCCCACCUAUGAGCUCCAGAUAUCAAAAGCCUUAUUAGAGUAGGGUGAGAGAGAAGGCAAUGUCACUUUGCCUCAUACCAAAAAUACCACAUACUUUGAGAGAAGGCAUAUACCAUUACUGCCUUGGUAAGGAUCCAGAAAUACCACAAAAGAGAGACUAGAGAGAGUCAUACAAGGAAUCUCUCAGUUUUAUUUGAAAAUCUGCAAAAACUCCAGAGCUAUAGUUAAUCGAAGAACAAGAGACAUGGCGCUUGACUAGACCGUUCUAUCUUUUAACUACUCAAGACAGAAGUGACGGUUACAAGUCCCAUGGUUAAAGGUAAAUGAGUAAGUUUUAAGUCUUAACAGUUUACUCUAACCAGAGAUGAGAUCUUGUUUAAACGCAUGUGUAUCUUUAAGUUAUGAAACCACUGUAGAAACUCUUGAGUUCAUCUUUGCUCAGGGACGAGCAAAGGUUAAGCUUGGGGGAGCUUGUUGACGGUCCUUAAUGCUCACAUUUAACCAUCAACUAAUCAUGGAAAAGGAUCUAAAUGCAACCAACACCUAGACUUAGGGUUUUAUCUGACAAAAUUCCACGAGUUUUGGUGUUUGUCUAUUUCUGCAGGGGGUUAUCAGGAAAUAUGAAAGAAAGGCCCACACGUCGGGUUUACAUAGAGAUAUUAACGUCCCGCGUAAUUUUCUACCAUCUAGAAGACUCCAGAAGCCACGGGAACGAACGGGAGGCCGAUCGGGCUCGGAGGCAGGGCGCCCGCCCAACUCUUCUGGGCGCCCGCACAGCUAAAGUGUCCAAUUCGAACCCGUUUCGCGGAUUAUGCUCCACCGACCUAAAGGAUCAAGGAAAACCGUGCGAUCAAUGUCGGUUUGAUCCGACGGCCCAGAUUCACUUGAAGGGACUAUAAAACCACCUGGCCCCUGGAGAGCAUACCUCUUCUACAGAAUCAAAGUUAGGGUUUCAAUUCUUCAUCCAAGUAGAGAGGAUCCCUCUAGUUCAUCUAGUUCUACCUCUAGUUCAUCUAGUUCUAGUUCUAGUUCUAGUUCAUCUAGUUCUAGUUCUAGUUAGUUCUAGUUGUAAUCUAGAAAAUAGGGAGAGAGAAGAGGAGAGCGGAGGAGGAGCCGGAUCUGUCGGAUCUUCCUCAACAUUAUACUUUUGCAGCAUCUGGUUCGUUCUUCAUCGUUCUCCAGGUUCUUCAAUUCAUAAUUCCUGAGUUCUUUAAUUACUUUUAUUUACAUUCAAGUUAUUUAUUGGAUUCCCGCUUGCAUCAAGUGCUCGAGUCUUUGUAACGCUAGAGUAGUAAUUACUAGAUUAGACGUGGUGUUUAGUCUUGCGAUUACGUGGAAUUGCACCCAAUCCUGCGGAUUGUUGUGGUAGCCUUAGGGUAGUGACAGCCCUAACGGUCGACGUAUUCCACCACGUUCGGAUCGGUGUUUGUAGGACCGUAGUCAAACCUUCCUAGCCCCCUUCUCAUCUCUUUCUGUGGUUAGUGCUCUGAUGUCCCGAUAUAGAUAAUCUUGAAGUAAUUCUUGAUUCUUAGAUCAACUAGAGAACUCUCAGGAAACUUCCUCUCUUCCCACCAAAAAUAUCCAUAUAGUUAUCCUUGGGCGAUCUUGGAUCUUAAUUAGUACACACACGUUCCCUGUGGAAAAUCGAUACUCUGGAAUACUCCCGGGUGAAGGCAACAUCGCUAUCCGUGCGCUUGCGGAUUUUUCUGUUUGCGUUUAAAAUACCCAACAGCGCCCAGGUCAACUGGGCGGGCGCCCAGUGCCUGGCCCCGUUCGGCCUCCGCUUCCUUUCCAUGGCUUCUGGAGUCUUCUAGAUGUAAGAUAAUUGUGCGGCACGUUGAUAUCUCUAUGUAGUCCUGACGUGUGGGCCUUUCUUCCGUAUUUCCUGAUAACCCCCUGCAGAAAUAGACAAACACCAAAACUCGUGGAAUUCUGUCAGAUAAAACCCUAAGUCUAGAUAUUGUUUUCUUUUGGAUCAUUUUCUUUGUUUCUUUGAUAAUUAAAUUUGAUACUUAUGGACUGUCAACAAACUCCCUCAAGCUUACCUCUUGCUCGUCCCUGAGCAAGGAUAAUCUCAGCGAUGGAUUGGAAGUUGUUGUAAUGCCUUUAAAAAUUGACGGUACACAUGCUUUUAAUUGAGGUCUCAUCUCUGAGUUAGAGUAAACUGUCAAGACUUAAAACUUAUUCAUUUUACCUUUCAACAUGGGACUUGUAACCGUCACUUCUGUCUUGAGUAGUUAAAAUAUAGAACAGUCUAGUCAAGUGCCAUGUCUCUUAUUCUUGAUCAGCUAUAACUCUAGAGAUUUUUGCAGAUUUUCAAAAAAAAACUCAGAGUUUCCUUGUAUGACUCUCUCAAAUCUCUCUUUUGUGGUAUUUCUGGAUCCUUACCAAGGCAGUUAUGGUAUAUGCCUUCUCUCAAUAUAUAUGGUAUUUGUGGUAUAAAGCAUAGUGACAUUGCCUUCUCUCUCAUCCUACUCUAAUAAGGCUUUAAUAUCUAGAGCUUAUAGGUGGGAGAUAAAGUAUACAUACUUACAAGACAUUUAUUGUAUAGUCAAACCAUGGAUCCAAAGAAACAAAUCAAUAAGUCAAAUCAAGAUGUGCAUGUGUGGCGAAUGAAUGUCGUAUGGUGAUGAUGGUGAUAACAAUGCUGAAAGUCUAAUUCUACUUUUGCUCUUUUGAGGGGAUACAUACCAUUCUUGCUUUUUUGAAAAUUUGUGAAGAGAAUGAGAUACUCUAUAUUUUUAUUUUUUCUUUUCUCUUAGGUGGGUAUCUUGUACCCCUAAUUCUACUGUCAGACACUUGUCCAUUUUUACCUCUCGUCUCACUUUUUCUUUUCUUUCGAGUUUGUAACACCCAAAAUUAGCUUUCCAAUUAAUAGGGUUUAAUUUGAGUUAUUUAAGUAUUUUGGGAGCAUUUAAUUUAGUAAAUGGAUAAUUUUGUUGAAACUAAAAUUUAUUAUAAGGAUAGAAACUUGUAUAUGCAUUCAUGCUGGGGCACAUUUUGUUUUGUGUUGACUCCUUUUGGUUUGAUUUUAGUUGUACUCGAAUUUCUAUUUGGAAAUGACUUUAAAAAAAAAAAAAAAAAAAGAAAAAGAAAACAAUGCUUCACCCUCUCUCGGUUUCGGCCUGGCGACCCUCAGCCUGGCGCGGCCCAUCUCCCACUCCCUCCCGCACUCGGCCCACUCUCUCCCCCCGGCCCAACGCGCGCGCCUCCUUCUCCCCUUCGGCUGACGACCGGGCCCCGCCCCGCUUCUCUCACUGGCAGCGCGGGCCCGCAUGGCAGCGGGCGCCUUCUCCUCCUUCCUUCUUCACGAGACGGAGCCGAACCAGACUCGACCGGCGCCAACCAAAAUCCCGAUUCUCCCGGGAUUUGGCAUGUUGAGAUCAAACCGAGCCCUAUAAAGCUCCUAGUGAUGCCCCGCGUCUCGGUUUUCCAUCUACGCCGCAAGAACUCUGACCUAGGACCCGCUGUCGCGCUAAAACGAAUCUCACCGAGUUUGGGAGCACCCCCUGUCGCCGCGAGCCUUCCCUGUUCUCCCCUGGUGCGAGCAAGGCGUCUAGGUGAGUUCCUGGUGAGUUUCUCCACCGCCUGGUGGUUUCGUUUUCUUUUUCGUGCUCUGAAUCGAAGAAACGGCGAGCUCCAGGGACCAUGCCCAUGGCGCCGCCGUGUCGGGUGCCCAUCCGGCCGGCCGGCCGCCGCUGGCCCCCUGGUGGGAUUUCCACCGUUGGAUCCAAGAUCCACGGCCACAAACAGAAGAUACCCCUUCGGGGUGAAAUUUGUUAAAGAGCCCCUGGAAAAGUUGAGAUUAAACCCGCAGUCCAAAGCGCCUCCUCAGUUUUACGCCUUUCGUUUUCAAAAACGUAUUCUCUGCGGGCUGAGUAAAUUACGCUUUCCAGAAAUUACAGAAAUGCCACUGAUUUUAUAAUGCUCAUAAAAUAUUCAUUUUAACUCCGUUUUUGCCCAUUCAAAUUGCGUUAGGUUCGUAAUCACAUGCUCUACAUGUUAGAAACAUUAGUUUACUGUUUUUGAAACUUUUAAUUCUGCAGUAGCAUUUAAUUAAUUAUUUCUCUAUAGGAAAUCUUAGAAAAUUCAUAUCUUCCGCGUUUUAAUUCCGAUUUUCGUGAACUUUACGUUUAUGUGAUCGUAGCGCUGCGUAGAAUAUUUUGGUGAACCUUUAUAUUUAUUUUACCACUGUUUGGUGUAUUGUUCUAAUUAUAUCUUGUUUGCUUCGUGUAUGAUUUUCUACAUUGGAUUGCGUGUUGUUGAUUGAUGAUUGGGAUUAGACGGUGAGCCGUACGUUGGUGCUCAAGAUCAAGUAUUUGAAGACCAGCAGGCUCAGGAGAGCUUUGAUCAAGGCAAGUAUAACCUGGGAUUAUCCUUGUUACCUAUUCACUUAUAACUACACAUAUAUGUCAUAUGCAUGCUAUCACCUUGUCGACCUUAGCAAAAUCAUAGAUGAUUGUUACCUGGAUUCCUUGCUACCUACUUGAUAUGCAUUUGGAGUAGAUGUGCUAGUGCUUGAUAUAAUCCAUGAUCUUGUAAGAUGAUUAAUAGCUAUGCAAUGAACAUAAAAGAAUGACAAAUAACGACAUGAGAUCUUGUCUGUACGUGAUCACCCGGGAUAACAGUGCAACCAUGAGGGCUAUUAUGGCUCUGGCUUUAGCUCAGUAUGAAGACCUUUUCUAGCUUGUUAGCGGUUACCCGAAAGGGCGGAGGGGCUGAACCGACACGGGUAUAGUGCGAGCCCCUGUCCCUAUGUGUAUAGGCUGCGCGUCAUUGUGCCAUUCGGAAGGGGGGUAUCUAUAUCUGCUCGCAAAGGAAACCUUGCGGCCCUAACAUGUUAGACGAACUUUUGAAAGGCUUCAUAGUGAUCCCUGCCGACCUCCCUAGGAAGGGGGUUAAGAGAUUAGCUACCUCGGGCGAAAGGGUAAAUCAUGACUCAUGGGUAAAGAUGUACAAACUCUGCAGAGUGUAAAACUGGUAUACUAGCCGAGCUCACGGUCAGGAGCGGCCUUGGGGACAUCUACAUUAAGAUGAUGAACUUGUUAUGUUAUUAUGUUCAUUUGAUUAUUGUUUAUGCUAUGAGAUUAAUUAUGCUUACACUUGAUCAUGGGAUUAAUGAAUGAUUUAUGCUUCCUUGACAAUUGCUAUUUAAUUAUGAACAUGCUAUCCACUAUUAAAAGCUAAAUGCAGUUAAACCAGUGUCAGCUGUUUGAGCCUCAUGAACCCCUGGUUAUACUUGUUGAGUACGAUAUGUGCUCACUCUUGCAAUUUCCCAACACCUCAGGAUGUGAUAAUGAAGAUGACUGGAAUGAGGAUUAUCGGUAUGAGUACUAGGUUUGGAGUCAACCAGUCAACAGUGUCCCUGUGUGGAGCUCCCGUUGAGAGCGUGGUUUACUUUAUGUUAUCAUUUUUGUAUGAGACUAUGUGAUAUUUUAUAUUCCGCUAUGUAAUAAACACUGCGAUGGUACAUUUUGAGAUUUGUCUACUUAUGUGUGCGACUGUUUCUGGGGCACAUAUGAGUCUUUUAUGCAUCCUAUUUUGCUCUUAAAAUAUGGGUGUGACAAAUUGGUAUCAGAGCUUUGUUGACUGUAGGACGCAAACCUAGUUAGCAAAUGGUCGAAAACUUAGGUCCUUAUUUUACUUACUUCAUGCUUCCCACUAUGGCCUUGUUAUUCGCUAAAAGUUUUGUGCUUCUCUAUCUUGCUCUAUUGUGAAAUUAUUACAUCCAUCUGAUCUAUGUCUAAAAACUUUUUGUAGAUGCCGCCCCGCACCCGUAGUGCUGCACGCAUGGCUGCUGAGGAGUACCGUGCCAUGUUCAACCUAGGAGGACAGCAUGUGGAUGGAGUUCCUGAGCUGGAAGAUGAGGAAUCAAGGGUGGAAGCUCAGGAGGAAGUGCCUGCAGAUGAGGAGAUGCAAGAUCCACCUCCACCACAGUCUGCUAAUGCAAGGAUGGGAUGGACUACUGAGCUGUGGAUUCCAGAGGCAGAUCCCAAGGAUUUCUUCCAUGAGAACUUGGUGCUGACAUUGAAACACCAUUACCCAGAUUUGCAAGCCACACUGGAGUAUAACUGCACUGAGCACAAACACCCGCUGAGGAGAUCACUUUGGGUUGCGGAGCUGAUAGUCAAGACACUGGAUGCCAACAAGGGGAUUCGAAAGGUGGGAUCAAAACACAUCGCUCGAAUCAGCCGGGACACGAUGAAAGAGAGUAUGGCAGAUGCAGCUUACCAGGCCUUGGUCUUCUACCGUGGUAGACGCUUUGAGGAUGUUCAGUAUAAUGCCACAUACCACUAUCUUCGCUUUGUACCAGAGAAGAUGACUUGGGCCAUAGAAGUUGCAGAUGCUUCACAACCAAAGCUUCAAGCACAAGUGGAGUUGACCUAUGAGCUGACACUCAAGGUGAUAGAGUUGGAGAAUGAACUACACCGUGAGAGGAAGCUGCUGGAGAAAGAGCAAAGGGAAGCAGAUGACCUUCGAGCGGAGUUAGGCCGUCCCAAACUUCAUAAGAGGCUGCAUGUUGAACCCAUCUUGAAGGAUGCUGCACCCGAAGAGUAGAAAAGAACCCAUAUGUAAUAGUAACGUUAGUAGUUGCGAGUUAUUUCGAGUCUUUUGCUAGUGUGGUGUGAACUUGGUGUGCUUGCUGAAUUGUUAUUAUGAAUAUGUGUGAUUUGGAUUUUUGUAAUGAGUGCUGGGAAAUUGUGGGCAUGUCCACAAGUUCCCUAAUUAAGAACCUUAAGUAAGAACAUGAAUAAAUAGUAGUUUGGGGUCAUAUCCUGUUUCUGUCUUUUGCUGUUUUCUGGAGCAGUCUGCAAUGAUUCUGGAAUAAAUCAAAUUCUGUUCGUGCAAUGUUCAUCAAAUUUUUCUGGGAAUAAGUAGACUUUCAUAUCUUUCCAAUGCCACAAGAAUGAUCAUAUUAUCUAUUAUGUGCGGUGAGUUAUGACUGUUUAAAGUUGAGUUUUCUGCGCAGUCUGGAAUUCUGGAACAGUUUCGGUUGUACACAGUUUUUGAUUAAACUAACGUUGGAAUCUGGUAAUAUGAUAUAAAUGAAAGUUGUAGACAAUUUCUUUAUCUUUCCAACGGUGUACAGCAUGUGUCCUUUUGAAUUCUGGAACUCGAGAUACUACUGAUUUUCUGAUCUGCUGAUGUUGGAUGUUACCCAGAAAAUUUCAGAUUCGGUUAACUCUUGUAAUUGUCAUGUUGGGCAUUACUAAGAUGUGUUUAUAUACCUUGGAAUGCAGAUGGCAGCAAGAGGAAGAGGCAGAGGCAGAGGCCGUGGCAAUGGCAAUGACAAUGGCAAUGGUGGCAAUGCUCCAAUCACCGUGGAGGAACUCAUGCAAACCCAAAAUCAGAUGAUGCACGUUUUCAUGCAGCACCUGCAGCAACAACCUCCACCGACACCACCACCUAUUCAUGUGAGGGACAAGCGUGGAGAGUUUAUGAAGGGAAGACCUCCGGUAUUUACACACUCAGCUGAUCCCAUGGAGGCAGAUGAUUGGUUACGUGCUGUGGAGAGGCAACUGAACAUAGCACAGUGCAAUGACUUGGAGAAGGUGUUGUAUGCUUCUGGACAGCUUCAAGGUGCAGCUCAGACAUGGUGGGAGUCGUAUCAAGCUGCUCGUCCCAACACUGCUCCUCCUGUCACAUGGCUGGAAUUCUGUAGAGACUUCAGAGCUCGACAUAUAAAUGAAGGAGUGAUGGAGCUCAAACAAGAAGAAUUCAGAUCACUCAGGAUGGGCUCCAUGACUGUGGCAGAAUAUCAUGACACAUUUGAACAGUUGGCUCGCUAUGCUCCGAACGAUGUCAGGGAAGAUGCUGAUAAGCAGCGUUUAUUCAUGAAGGGCUUGUACUAUGAACUCAGGUUGCAGUUGGCAGGAAACACUUAUCCUACCUUCCAAGCUCUUGUGAACCGUGCCAUUGUGCUUGAUAAUAUGCGGAAGAGUCAGGAUAAGAAGAGAAGGAUGCUGGCACAAGGAUCUGGGAGCAACAACCGUCAGCGUUUCAGCUCUCAGCAAGGCCAUCAGCAGAGGUUCCAGGGACCAGUUAGUCAGUGGAACCGUAACCAGCAACCCCAGCGUUUCCAGAAUCAGUCACCGAGUGGGAACCAACGUCCUCCAUUCCAACAACGUAACCAUAAUCAGCAGCAGCAGGGUCAGCAGACACCUCGCUCAGGGAACUCAAAUGCCAACUCUACAAAAAGGAGUGCUUCUAACAAUCCUACCAGGUGUUUCCGUUGUGGGAAGGAAGGGCAUAUGUCCUAUGAUUGCCCAGAGAAGUUUAAUCCGCAGUACAACGAUCGUAGAUCCACUCCUAAUUCAGCAAAGGUGAACAACGUGGCAGCAGAAACUGUUCAGGAAGGACCAGAAAUCAUGAUGGGUACGUUCAGCAUCAACUCUAUCCCUGCUACAGUUUUAUUUGAUUCUGGAGCUUCACAUACUUUCAUAUCGCAAGCAUUUGUUAGAGUUCAUAGCCUUCCUCUUGUUGCAAUGAACACCCCUAUGUUAGUUAAUUCACCGGGUGGGACUAUACCAGUUUCUUUACGUUGCCCCUCAGCAAGUCUUUCUUUAAGGGGGGUAGAUUUUCCUAUCAGUCCCAUGGUUAUGAGAACUUCAGGCAUAGAUGUGAUCUUGGGUUUGGAUUGGAUGAAGCAACAUGCAACAAAUAUUAACUGCAAAGAGAGAGUAGUGGUUCUGACAACACCAAAGGGAGAAAGAAUCAGUGUUGAUGUAACAAUGCAAGCACCACUCACAGCUAAAGUGAACCAACUGACUGAUGAUGUUGAUCCUCAGAAUUUGGUAGUGGAUGAGUUUCCGGAUGUCUUUCCAGAUGAAUUGCCAGGUAUGCCACCUGACCGAGACAUUGAAUUUAUUAUUGAAUUACUACCUGGUACUGCACCCAUAGCUAAAAGACCAUAUAGGAUGGGGGUUAAGGAACUAGAAGAACUUAAGAAACAAAUUAAGGAAUUGCAAGAUAAAGGGUUCAUUCGUCCUAGCUCAUCACCAUGGGGUGCACCAGUUAUCUUUGUUGAUAAGAAGGAUGGUAGUCAGAGGAUGUGUGUUGAUUAUCGGUCACUUAAUGAGGUCACUAUCAAGAAUAAAUAUCCAUUGCCUAGGAUUGAUGACUUAUUUGAUCAGCUAAGAGGUGCUUGUGUGUUCUCUAAGAUUGAUUUGCGUUCUGGUUAUCAUCAACUGAAGAUUCGGAAUUCAGAUAUACCAAAGACAGCUUUCACAACAAGGUAUGGGUUAUAUGAGUAUACAGUUAUGUCUUUUGGUUUGACCAAUGCACCAGCUUACUUUAUGUACAUGAUGAAUAAAGUAUUCAUGGAGUAUCUUGAUAAGUUUGUGGUGGUCUUUAUUGAUGAUAUUCUGGUGUUCUCUAAAACCAAGGAAGAACAUGCUGAACAUCUGAGAUUGGUCUUACAAAAACUUAGAGAACAUAAGUUGUAUGCUAAGCGUAGUAAAUGUGAGUUUUGGUUGGAGGAAGUAUCUUUUCUUGGUCAUGUUGUCUCUAAUGGUGGUAUUGCAGUGGAUCCUAGUAAGGUGAAAGAUGUGUUGAAUUGGAAACCACCUACAGAUGUAAGUGAAAUUCGCAGUUUUCUUGGUUUAGCUGGUUACUAUCGUAGGUUCAUUGAAGGGUUCUCAAAACUUGCAAAGCCUAUGACUGCUCUAUUAGAGAAGAAUGCUAAGUUUGUGUGGUCUGAUAAGUGUCAAGCUAGUUUUGAGGAGUUCAAGAAGAGAUUGACCACUGCACCUGUGUUGGUAUUGCCGGAUCUGAGUAAGAGUUUCUCUAUCUAUUGUGAUGCUUCUCGUCUGGGUUUGGGUUGUGUUCUUAUGCAAGAAGGUAGAGUUGUUGCUUAUGCGUCUAGACAAUUGAGGAAACAUGAAUUGAAUUAUCCUACUCAUGAUUUGGAGUUAGCAGCUGUGGUUCAUGCGUUGAAGAUUUGGAGACACUAUUUGAUUGGGCAUAAGAGUGACAUAUACACUGAUCAUAAGAGUUUGAAGUAUAUCUUCACCCAGACAGAUCUGAAUUUGAGGCAACGAAGAUGGUUGGAACUGAUAAAGGAUUAUGAUUUGGAAGUACAUUAUCAUCCUGGGAAGGCGAACGUCGUAGCUGAUGCACUUAGCAGAAAGAAAUAUGCUAAUGAGCUUCAGGCGACCCCUGAAUCUGAGGAGUUGUGUGCUGAAUUUGCAUAUUUAAACUUGGGAAUGGUAGUAAAUGCUACGGAGAUUGAGAUUACUCCUACCCUAGAGGAAGAGAUAUUGAAAGGACAAUUGGAAGAUGAGAAACUAAAGGAGAUAGCACAGAAUGUGGCAUUAGGCAAAGCACCAGGAUUCAGAAUAGAUGACAAUGGUGUAUUGUGGUUUGGAAAAAGGAUAUGUGUUCCGGAAGUGAAGGCUAUUCGUGAUACGAUUCUGAGAGAGGCUCAUGAGUCAGCAUAUUCCAUUCACCCUGGGAGCACUAAGAUGUAUCUAGAUCUAAGACAGAAGUACUGGUGGUAUGGUUUAAAGAGAGAUGUAGCUGAGUAUGUUGCUGUGUGUGAUACUUGUCAGCGAGUGAAAGCUGAACAUCAGAGGCCAGCUGGACUGUUGCAACCAAUGAAGAUUCCGGAAUGGAAGUGGGAAGAAGUGGGUAUGGAUUUCAUAGUGGGUUUACCACGAACACAGAGAGGGUAUGACUCAAUAUGGGUGAUAGUAGAUCGUUUGACUAAAGUUGCUCACUUCAUACCUGUUAAAACUAAGUACACUGGAGAACGCCUAGCUGAGCUGUAUAUGGAGAGAAUUGUUUGUUUGCAUGGGGUACCUAAGAAGAUUGUGUCAGAUAGGGGUACUCAAUUCACAUCUCACUUUUGGAAAGCGGUGCAUGAUUCAUUGGGAACUAAGUUGAAUUUCAGCACAGCAUAUCAUCCACAGACAGAUGGACAGACUGAGAGGAUCAACCAGAUAUUGGAGGAUAUGUUGAGAGCUUGUGCUUUGCAGUAUGGGGCUAGUUGGGACAAGAGUUUGCCAUAUGCAGAAUUCUCCUACAACAACAGCUAUCAGCAAAGUCUUAAGAUGGCACCGUUCGAGGCCCUAUAUGGUCGGAAGUGCAGGACACCUUUGUUUUGGAAUCAGACGGGGGAGACUCAGGUGUUUGGGACAGAUGUGCUUAGACAUGCAGAACAACAAGUGCGGACUAUUCGGGAUAACUUGAGAGUUGCUCAAUCUCGUCAGAAAAGCUAUGCAGAUACGCGUAGGAGAGAGCUGGCUUUUGAAGUGGGUGAUUAUGUCUAUUUGAAAGUGUCACCUAUGCGGAGUGUGAAGAGGUUUAAUAUGAAGGGAAAGCUGGCUCCAAGGUAUGUUGGUCCGUUUAAAGUUUUAGAAAGGCGUGGAGAAGUAGCCUAUCGGUUAGAAUUGCCGGAAAGUUUAUCUGGUGUGCACGAUGUGUUCCAUGUGUCACAACUCAAGAAGUGUUUGCGUGUACCUGAGGAGCAAUUACCAUUGGAAGAACUUUCUGUUAAAGGUGAUCUCACUUAUGAGGAGCAUCCGGUCAAAAUAUUGGAGACAGCUGAGAGAGUCACCAGAAGUCGGGUCAUCAGAAUGUGCAAAGUACAGUGGAAUCGGCAUUCGGAAGCAGAGGCAACUUGGGAAAGGGAGGAUGACCUGAGGAAAUCAUACUCAUACUUGUUUGAGUAAGCACCUGUUUCAUCUCGAGGACGAGAUUCUUUUAAGGGGGGUAGAGUUUGUAACACCCAAAAUUAGCUUUCCAAUUAAUAGGGUUUAAUUUGAGUUAUUUAAGUAUUUUGGGAGCAUUUAAUUUAGUAAAUGGAUAAUUUUGUUGAAACUAAAAUUUAUUAUAAGGAUAGAAACUUGUAUAUGCAUUCAUGCUGGGGCACAUUUUGUUUUGUGUUGACUCCUUUUGGUUUGAUUUUAGUUGUACUCGAAUUUCUAUUUGGAAAUGACUUUAAAAAAAAAAAAAAAAAAAGAAAAAGAAAACAAUGCUUCACCCUCUCUCGGUUUCGGCCUGGCGACCCUCAGCCUGGCGCGGCCCAUCUCCCACUCCCUCCCGCACUCGGCCCACUCUCUCCCCCCGGCCCAACGCGCGCGCCUCCUUCUCCCCUUCGGCUGACGACCGGGCCCCGCCCCGCUUCUCUCACUGGCAGCGCGGGCCCGCAUGGCAGCGGGCGCCUUCUCCUCCUUCCUUCUUCACGAGACGGAGCCGAACCAGACUCGACCGGCGCCAACCAAAAUCCCGAUUCUCCCGGGAUUUGGCAUGUUGAGAUCAAACCGAGCCCUAUAAAGCUCCUAGUGAUGCCCCGCGUCUCGGUUUUCCAUCUACGCCGCAAGAACUCUGACCUAGGACCCGCUGUCGCGCUAAAACGAAUCUCACCGAGUUUGGGAGCACCCCCUGUCGCCGCGAGCCUUCCCUGUUCUCCCCUGGUGCGAGCAAGGCGUCUAGGUGAGUUCCUGGUGAGUUUCUCCACCGCCUGGUGGUUUCGUUUUCUUUUUCGUGCUCUGAAUCGAAGAAACGGCGAGCUCCAGGGACCAUGCCCAUGGCGCCGCCGUGUCGGGUGCCCAUCCGGCCGGCCGGCCGCCGCUGGCCCCCUGGUGGGAUUUCCACCGUUGGAUCCAAGAUCCACGGCCACAAACAGAAGAUACCCCUUCGGGGUGAAAUUUGUUAAAGAGCCCCUGGAAAAGUUGAGAUUAAACCCGCAGUCCAAAGCGCCUCCUCAGUUUUACGCCUUUCGUUUUCAAAAACGUAUUCUCUGCGGGCUGAGUAAAUUACGCUUUCCAGAAAUUACAGAAAUGCCACUGAUUUUAUAAUGCUCAUAAAAUAUUCAUUUUAACUCCGUUUUUGCCCAUUCAAAUUGCGUUAGGUUCGUAAUCACAUGCUCUACAUGUUAGAAACAUUAGUUUACUGUUUUUGAAACUUUUAAUUCUGCAGUAGCAUUUAAUUAAUUAUUUCUCUAUAGGAAAUCUUAGAAAAUUCAUAUCUUCCGCGUUUUAAUUCCGAUUUUCGUGAACUUUACGUUUAUGUGAUCGUAGCGCUGCGUAGAAUAUUUUGGUGAACCUUUAUAUUUAUUUUACCACUGUUUGGUGUAUUGUUCUAAUUAUAUCUUGUUUGCUUCGUGUAUGAUUUUCUACAUUGGAUUGCGUGUUGUUGAUUGAUGAUUGGGAUUAGACGGUGAGCCGUACGUUGGUGCUCAAGAUCAAGUAUUUGAAGACCAGCAGGCUCAGGAGAGCUUUGAUCAAGGCAAGUAUAACCUGGGAUUAUCCUUGUUACCUAUUCACUUAUAACUACACAUAUAUGUCAUAUGCAUGCUAUCACCUUGUCGACCUUAGCAAAAUCAUAGAUGAUUGUUACCUGGAUUCCUUGCUACCUACUUGAUAUGCAUUUGGAGUAGAUGUGCUAGUGCUUGAUAUAAUCCAUGAUCUUGUAAGAUGAUUAAUAGCUAUGCAAUGAACAUAAAAGAAUGACAAAUAACGACAUGAGAUCUUGUCUGUACGUGAUCACCCGGGAUAACAGUGCAACCAUGAGGGCUAUUAUGGCUCUGGCUUUAGCUCAGUAUGAAGACCUUUUCUAGCUUGUUAGCGGUUACCCGAAAGGGCGGAGGGGCUGAACCGACACGGGUAUAGUGCGAGCCCCUGUCCCUAUGUGUAUAGGCUGCGCGUCAUUGUGCCAUUCGGAAGGGGGGUAUCUAUAUCUGCUCGCAAAGGAAACCUUGCGGCCCUAACAUGUUAGACGAACUUUUGAAAGGCUUCAUAGUGAUCCCUGCCGACCUCCCUAGGAAGGGGGUUAAGAGAUUAGCUACCUCGGGCGAAAGGGUAAAUCAUGACUCAUGGGUAAAGAUGUACAAACUCUGCAGAGUGUAAAACUGGUAUACUAGCCGAGCUCACGGUCAGGAGCGGCCUUGGGGACAUCUACAUUAAGAUGAUGAACUUGUUAUGUUAUUAUGUUCAUUUGAUUAUUGUUUAUGCUAUGAGAUUAAUUAUGCUUACACUUGAUCAUGGGAUUAAUGAAUGAUUUAUGCUUCCUUGACAAUUGCUAUUUAAUUAUGAACAUGCUAUCCACUAUUAAAAGCUAAAUGCAGUUAAACCAGUGUCAGCUGUUUGAGCCUCAUGAACCCCUGGUUAUACUUGUUGAGUACGAUAUGUGCUCACUCUUGCAAUUUCCCAACACCUCAGGAUGUGAUAAUGAAGAUGACUGGAAUGAGGAUUAUCGGUAUGAGUACUAGGUUUGGAGUCAACCAGUCAACAGUGUCCCUGUGUGGAGCUCCCGUUGAGAGCGUGGUUUACUUUAUGUUAUCAUUUUUGUAUGAGACUAUGUGAUAUUUUAUAUUCCGCUAUGUAAUAAACACUGCGAUGGUACAUUUUGAGAUUUGUCUACUUAUGUGUGCGACUGUUUCUGGGGCACAUAUGAGUCUUUUAUGCAUCCUAUUUUGCUCUUAAAAUAUGGGUGUGACAGAGGUUCCGGGCACUUGCCCCUUUUUAUUUCCUUGUUUCUCUCUUUUUUUUAGGGCACUCAUCUCUUGAGAUAAUAUAGCAAGUGGUAGUAACAAGAUAACUUGAGCAUUUAUUUCACAAAGGAAAAACAAAAAUGUUUUUGGCCAUUCUCUCCCGGAUUAGGAGUAGAAUGUUUUUGGGUGGUUCUGGAGGUGGAAAUGAGUGGAUAUAUGUGGAUGGUACUUCCGGAGUAGAAGCAGCAUGUGUGACUGAACGUGCAAGUGAAUCUUGAUUUUAACCACAUGACAAGCUCCUAAGGGUCUACACAGCUUGACCACACUCAAUGCUCAUAAGCAGUAAAAAGUAAAUGUGUGGCUCAAAGUUUAGCAAGCAUGUAUAUAUGGCUGUGGUAGGAAUUUAAACUCUCAUCAUACAGGAACUCAUCAUGCAAUAUUUUAAAGAUUUUCAAAGAUAAAAUUCUCCAGAAUUCUAGCAUCUCUAGGAACAGAUGAACAACAGCUCAAUCUUCUCAUAUCAUAUCCGUUAACAACUUAGACUUUAGAUCAAGUUUUCUUCCCACAAGUUUAGGUUUAGAGCAAGCUUUAAAUUAUAACAAUUAUGCCUAAACUUGAGAGAACUUCAAAUUUGAAAAAUUAAGCAGAGCAACUAUUCAUCAUAUCCAUGCUAGAGUUUUAUUAUUAAGAUUCAGAUUAGCAUAGCCACUUUUUUAUUUAUUAAACGUACUAAGCAAAAGACAUAUAUAUAUAUAUAAGCACAAAAUCUUUAUUUGGUUUUCCAUAAUUAUGUAUAUUUAUAUUUUUAAUAUAAUAUAAGUAUAAAGAUAGAUAGAUAGAAAUACUUAUCGGGAUAAAUAGGGGUGCUUUCCCCCAAGCUGAAUUUUGACGUAAUUUCCCUUGAUGUAGCUAGCAGAUGGCAGAGGUGUAUUUGAAAGUCGGCAGCAUUCUGACAGCGAUUAGAAUGUCCUCCGUCUGCUAGUCUUCUUGAUUCUUAAAUUCUCUGGAGCUCAAAUAAACAACAAAGCUUUGUGGAACUAAUUAAGUGUUAGCAUAAACAUCUAGCCUUUAUCAUGUUGAAACUUCUUAAUAAAUAUUACUCCCUAUUUUUUAUAUUUUUCAUUUUAUAGAGUAGAAAAGAAAUAUUUAUUUUAUUUUUAUGCCACCACAGUGAAUGUACUUAUGGGUUUUAUGCCACUCGUAUACUCACAUGGGGCUUACUGUUUUUUAACAUUUUUUUAUUUUCUUUUUAGGAUAGUAUGAACAUGAUUAACUAAGUAAACUGUUUAAAUAAUUGAAAGGGAAAAGAUAACUACCAAGUUUACCUCUUGGCAAGGCGUUCGGUGUUUUUAAGUCCUCCGAACGGGACUCUCCAUUUUCUCAAUUGUUCUGGGAUUCGUUAGGUGGCGUAGUCGGUACUUCCGGCGGCGCCACCUCUUCAUGUAUAGUUAUCUUCUCUCUCCACACCUGACUUGGUGCUACGGUCUCCUUUGGAUAAUUCUGUUUAAACUGUAUGUCUUCUGACCUUGUCACUUCGCCUUCAUAGUCUGCCCAUCCAUCCUUGAUGAUCUGCCUCCUCUGGUUGCGGUUGCGUCGUUUUCUGACCUGCUUAGAUUCUUCAAUGAUAUAGUUAGGGUCAGUAAAAUAGCGGCAUACCUUCUCUGAGGGGAAGUGCAUAUGGACUUCUCCAGUACCAAUGUAGAUGAUUGCUUUAACGGUGCUAAGGAACGGUCUUCCAAGGAUGAUGGGUGGAUCGUAUUCGUCUUCUCCCAUGUCAAUAACCUAAAAGUCUAUGUAGACAAAAUGAUCGUCUAUUUUGACAGGGACAUCAGUUACUGUUCGUUUAACCUCUCGAAAUGUCUGAUCUGCCAUCUGGAGCUGAAUGUAUGUUGGUUUGAAGGGCAUGGUUACGAACAAGAGCCGAUAGGUGACUGCAGCCAUUAUGUUGACGCCCGAUCCAGUGUCGCAAGUCGUCUUGUAGAAGUUAUAUCCAUUUAUGGAGCAAUAGAUGCUUGGCAUUCCAGGGUCAUCCUUCUUAGUCAAAAAUGGUGACUUAAGUUGAUGCUCUUGGCCUCCAUGAACUGCAGUGACCAUCUUAGCUGACUCGGUCCACACUUGCUUGUUCCUCCUCCUGUUGGUCCUCUUCCUUGGUUCACGUCUGGAUUGAUCUGGGAUUUGUAUAGUCUUGUUCUUGAAGGAAAAUGCCUCCUUCUUCCCUUUGAUGUAGAAACUGAUCUUGGCAGCACUAGCGUAGAUGACAGCACCCGAGGUGUUCAAGAAUGGCCUCCCUAAGAUGAUGGGUGCCCUCUCAUCAUUACCGGUCUCUAUCACCACGAAGUCUGCUGGGGCAUAUAAGGUACCAACUCGGACACAAAGGUUCUUCAAUAUUCCUUUUGGAAAACUUAAUGCCUGAUCUGCAAACUGCAAACACAUGGUUGUUUCUAAUAAAGGAUAUGUACAGAAUUUUUCAUAGAGUACCCUAGGUAUAAUGUUGACGCUAGAGCCAAAGUCACAUAGUGCUUCUGGGACGUCCACCGUACCGAUGGAGAUCGGGAUGACGGGGCGUCCAGGAUCGCCUCUCUUGACCGGCAGAAGGUUAGUAGUAACUUCAAUGAUGGGGUUACUCCAAUUACCUGCAUCAAACAUGUCUACAAGAUUUGCAGAUUCUAAUCCUUCCGGUUGUGAUAGUAUACCGGGGUUAGUAGUAGGAACAACAGCACCUAUUUGAUUUAAUUCAGAUUCUAUCAUUUAAUUAAAGCUAAUUUGAUUCUUGAUGGCAGUAGAGAAAUUAUCCAUUCUAUUAUUUAUAUUUUCUAGCAUUUUAUCAUUUGAUGCCAAUUUCUUUGAUAGGUUAUCCAUUAGCUUUCCUUGAUUAGACACUAACUCUCUCAGAGGUGGAAAAUUAUUAUUAUUAUGAUUAUUGUAAGAAUUGUUACCUUGAUAAUUACUUGAGUAGUUAGGCCUCUGUUGAUUCCAACCUUGAUUUUGUUGAGGACGGUUGUAGUAGUAGUUGUUGUUAUUGUUGAUAUAGUUCACAUCCUCAAGCAUCUCAGGAUAGUGAUUGCCUGAGUGUCCAGUGUCUCCACACUCCUCGCAAGUCAUGUGAGAGUCGUAGAUGUGCACAACUUCUUUCUUAUCUCCAGCUCUAUCAUCGAGCUUUUUCUUGAGCAGGUCUAGCUUUGCAGACAGCAUGUCUACCUCCUUGAGCUGAUACAUACCUCUACCUCUCUUGCGUGUCUGGGUCCUCUCUUCAUUUCAGCCUUGGUUGGACGCCAUCUUCUCCACAAGAGCUGUGGCUUCUGAUAUGGUAAGUGAUAGGAAUGCUCCUCCAGCUGCAUCAUCCAUGGUUUCUCGAGCACUGUUGCCGAGCCCAUGAUAAAAUGUCUGCAUUAGUAGCCAACUCUCCAUUCCAUAAUGGGGACAUUCUAGGAUGUAGUCUUGGAAGCGCUCCCAUGCUUCUGGAACGGAUUCUUCAUGUUGUUGUUAAAAACUUGUAAUCUUCCCACGGAGAGCAUUGGUCUUGCCCAUGGGAAAGAACUUAGCCAGAAAGUUCGUUGAGCAGAGUGCCCACGUAGUAUUCUUCUCCUUUGUAGCGUAGAACCACUGCUUCGCUCUUCCUAACAGUGAGAAUGGGAAGAGGCGAAGUAGUAUAGCAUCUCUGGAAACGCCUGAUAUGGUAAAUGUGUUGCAAAUGUUGGAGAUGAGCACUAGCAUCUUCGUGUGCCUUCCCACAGAACUGGUUGGAUUGCACCAUGUUGAUAAGUCCAGGCUUGAGCUCAAAGUUGCCGUCGAUCUCUGCAGCAGGUCCAGUGCGGAUGUUGUCCGUAGUGGGAGCUGAGAACUCGCGGAUCGAUUUGUUCACCAUGGCUUCGAACUCUGAAGACAAGUUCCGGUGAUCUUCUUGAUUGGAUGAAGCUUCUUGCUGAAGUGUUGAUGAUCUCUUCUUGAGCUUGGCUCUUGUUUUUCUGAAUAAUGCUUCGGGAUUGUCAACAAAAUUUCCUAGAAGAUGUCUUCUAUUCAUACAUUAUCCUGCAUAAGAUAAAACAGAAAAAUACUGGGGUAAAACUGUAUGAGAGAAUUGAUAAGCUCAAUCAUAUUAGUGAUGCGAAUGAUAACUCCAAAUCCUAUAUUUAUUCCUGAUUAGUAAUCAACCUUCUCCGGCAAUGGCGCCAAAAAUGCUUGUUGGGUAUUCCUAACAUCAUUACCAAAAGUAGACUUAGUUUUCUAAUUCUGAUAACGGUGCCAAAAAUGCCAAAACUAUCUCUCAUACCACUUAAGCCAAGUUGUCAUCCCCAGCAUGACAUGAGAGACGCGGUAUUGAAAUAUGCAAUUGCUCAUCUAAAUAAAUAAUGAAUGGGAUCUGCAAGCGCACAGAUUAAUACCGAUGUAGCAUUUUAACCGGGAAGUAUUCCAGGUAUCGUUAUUUAUAUUUUUACCAUAGGGAAGGGAUUAGUAACCAUCAAUGUUGAUUAUAGAAUGGAAUAUGAGAUUGAGUAUCUAUCAUUGCAUGUAUAAUUGAGAACAUUUAUCUAACUCUUUCAUACAGGGAUAAGUACCACAUAAAAGAUAUAUGAAAUAAUGAAUAGUGACAAAGAUAAUUAAUCUGAUCAGCAUAACUUAGCCACAUAAUAAAUAUGAUAAGCACCUCAAUUAGAUACUCUAGAAAGUCAUUAGCAUGGAAUUAGAACGAACUACAAGAAUAUUUCCUAAGUUAUUCUCAACUAUAUAGUCUAGCAUUAUCAUAGUUAGUGCAAGCAUACUUAGCAAUCAUUGCAAGACAAGACUGCGCCCAUGCAUAGUGAUAUUAGCAAGGUAAAUGAGAAUCAUAGCAAUCACUCCCCUGUAAUAAUGUUGCUCUGCCAGCCCAAUACACGAGAGGGGGACUAUAUAGGAAUCAAUGAAGCUGUCGCUAUCACGAACUACCCCACGAUCUAGCAUAUUGGGUACAAUCGUAGAUAUAUACGGUAUAAGCACCACGCCUACACAAUAUCUAUCAUUUACCCAUGGAUCCGAUGGAUAAACGCUAUACGAUCCUAAGCAUGUAUAUAGAUCCAAUCUAACUAAGCCAAGUAUAUAACUAUGAUAAACUAAGAACAAUAUAAUCUUGAAUAUAAACAAGAAGAGCAAAGUCAUAAGCAAUAUAUGGAAGUAGAACAAAGUCAUAUCCAUAAUAUUGAAGAACAAAGAUAAUUAGAAAAACAAUUAGAAGCACAAUUAGAGAAUUACUAAGAAUCCUCUUGAUAGAUCCGGAAACCAAUCGAAGAUUGACUCCUAGUUCUAAUCCUAUGUAGCUAUGCUAAUCUAGAUAUCUAAUUGAUGUGGUGGCUCUAAUCUUGAUCAGAGGCUUCUUCUCCCUUGAGGAACAAUUAAUUAGGGUUGAGAGGCGCUCUCCUCCAGGGGCCAGGGGGUCUGGUUUUAUAGUCCCUUCAAGUGAAUAUGGGCCGUUGGAUCAAACCGACAUAGAUUGAACGGUUAUCCUUGAUCCUUUAGGUCGGUGGAGAUCUUUCCUGAAAGAGUGUCCUGAUUGGAGUCCAACAGGGGGCGGGCGCCCAUGUCAACUGGGCGGGCGCCCAGUGCCUGGCCCCGUUCGGCCUCCGCUUCCUUCCCGUGGCUUCUGGAGUCUUCUAGAUGUAAGAUAAUUGUGCGGCACGUUGAUAUCUCUAUGUAAUCCCGACGUGUGGGCCUUUCUUCCGUAUUUCCUGAUAACCCCCUGCAGAAAUAGACAAACACCAAAACUCGUGGAAUUCUGUUAGAUAAAACCCUAAGUCUAGAUAUUGAUUUCAUUUGGAUCCUUUUCUUUGUUUAUUUGAUAAUUAAAUUUGAUACUUAAGGACCGUCAACAUCAACAUCCAGCUUAGGGGAGGCACCCCCACGUGUAUCUAGAUAAGUAUUACUUUCCUUUCUUGGUUUUAUUUACUAGUAUUUGGAAAUAAAUAGAAAAAUGCAUAACCAUGAAACCAAACAAAGUUUUUCUUUUGAGUAAUAUACAAUAGUUUUGUGUAAUCCUAAGUUUUAAAUAAAAUAAAAAGAAAGUUUGAACCAAUUCUAGGUAAUUGACAAACAUGAUAUGAGAAGGUCUGAGCUACUAUUUAACUUGUUCCAAGUUUCGCUAGAGUUCUGGAGAUUUUAUCUUUUGAAAAUCUAAAAAUUCAAAAAAAAUGAUGACAUCCGGUUUCACAUAAUACCUAGAGUCUUAUAAGAUAUAAAUAUUAAAACUAUGGGCACUUGCUUUGUUCAAGCCAUUGUUAAUUCUUGUAGUUUUGGUUGAGAGAAUUAUCAUGCUCCAAAGAUCAAGAUCUUUUUGUUUUAAAAAUAUAAAAGAUUCACUCUUCCGAAGUAUUAUUGCGCUAGAGGCAUGGGACUAUGCAAAAAUUUGAUUCGAAAAAAGAGUGAGACGAGAGGUAAAAAUGGACAAGUGUCCAAAGUAGAAUUAGGGGUACAAAGAUACCCACCUGAGUGGAAAAAAUGGACACGUGUCCGACAGUAGAAUUAGGGGUACUUGGUGCCCACUUGAAAAAAGGGGAAAAAAGAGAGAGACUGAAAACAGAAAGAGAUGACAAACUUUUCAAAAAGGUCAAAGGUCUUGAUCUAGGAGUAUGACAUUCCUCUCCCUUGCUUCGAGCAUUGACAUAGCAAAAUGCAAAGUAAGUAUGCUAAAACUUUUAAAGGUCUACUCAUAUAUCUUUUGAGAAGAAGGCAAAUGCCUCAGUUUUAUUUUGGAAACUUACAAAAGGACUCCAGAACAAAGGUAAGACAGAAGAACUUGAGACAUAGUGCUUGACUUGAUCGUUUUGUUUUUCAAUCACUUAAGACCUUAGUGAUAACUUAAAAACCCUAUAGUAAGAGGCAUAAAACUAACCCCUUUUUUCUUACUGAUUUUAGCUUUGCUCAGGGACGAGCAAAGGUUAAGCUUGGGGGAGCUUGUUGACGGUCCUUAAUGCUCACAUUUAACCGUCAACUAAUCAUAAAAAAUGACCUAUAUGCAAUCAACAUCAAAGUUUAGGGUUUCAUCUCACAGAAUUCCAUGAGUUUUGGUGUUUGUCUAUUUCUGCAGGGGGUUAUCAGGAAAUAUGGAGGAAAGGUCCACACGUCGGGCUUACAUAGAGAUAUUCACGUGCACCGCAAUUAUCCGACAUCUACAAGAGUCUAUAAGCCACGGGAACGAGUGGGAGGCUGAGGGGGCCCUAGGGCUGGGCGCCCACCCUCCCCCCUUGGGCGCCCGCCCAAGGCUCUCAGCCAAUCAGGGUCCAUCUCGCGGAUAAUGCUCCACCGACCUAAAGGAUUAUGGAAAACCGUGGGAUUAAGGUCGGUUUGAUCCGACGGCUCAUAUUCAUUUGGAGGGCUAUAUAAGCAGACCCCCACCAGCCUCUGGAGGCAUAUCUCUUCUACGGAAUCAAAGCUAGGGUUUCAAUUAUUCAUCCAAGUAGAGAGGAUCCAUCUAGUUCAUAUAGUUCUAGUUCUAGUUCAUCUAGUUCUAGUUCUAGUUGUAAUCUAGAAAAUAGGGAGAGAGAAGACGAGAGCGGAGGAGGAGCCGGAUCUGUCGGAUCUUCCUCAACAUUGUACUUUUGCAGCAAAUGGUUCGUUCUUCAUCGUUCUCCAAGUUCUUCAAUUCAUAAUUUCUGAGUUCUUUAAUUACUUUUAUUUACAUUCAAGUUAUUUAUUGGAUUCCCGCUUGCAUCAAGUGCUCUAGUCUUUGCAACGCUAGAGUAGUAAUUAAUAGAUUAGACGUGGUGCUUAGUCUUGCAAUUACCUAGAAUUACACCCAAUCCUACGGAUUGUUGUGGUAGCCCUAGGGUAGUGACAGCCCUAACGGUCGACGUAGUUCACCUCGUUUGGAUCGGUGUUUGUAGGACCAUAGUCAGAGCUUCCUAGCCCCAUUCUCAUCUCUUUCAACGGUUAGUGUUCUGAUGUCCCGAAAUAAAUAAUCUGUGAAGUAAUUCUUGAUUCUUAGAUCAACUAGAGAACUCUCAGCAAACUUCCUCUCUUCCCACCAAAAAUAAUUAUAUAGUUAUCCUUGGGCGAUCUUGAAUCUUAAUUAGUACACUCACGUUCUCUGUGGAAAAUUGAUACUCUGGAAUACUCCCGGGUGAAAUCUACAACGGUAUCCGUGCACUUGCGGAUUUUUCUGUUUGCGUUUAAAACACCCAACAAUCCACUUCUAUGCCUUUUCCUGAAACAACAAAGCUAAGAAAUACAACAUGGUCUGUGCAAAAACUGCACUUCUCAAGAUUAGCAAAUAAUUUCUCCUUUCUAAGCUCUUCCAAGACAUACCGAAUAUGAUUCACAUGUUCCUCAAAAGACUUGCUGUAAAUUAGGAUAUAAUUGAAGUAGACAACAACAAAUUUUCCAAUGAAAUCUCUCAAGACAUGGUUCAUUAAUCUCAUGAAAGUACUAGGAGCAUUAGUCAAACCAAAAGACAUAACUAACCAUUCAUACAGCCCAAAUUUUGUUUUAAAUGCAGUUUUCCAUUCAUCCCCUAUUUUCAUUCUUAUCUGAUGGUAUCUACUUCUCAAAUCAAUUUUAGUGAGUAUGGUGGAACUACUUAAUUCAUCAAGCAUGUCAUCUAAACGUGGAAUAGGAUGGCGAUAGCGAACAGUAAUGUUAUUUAUAGCUCUACAAUCAACACACAUCCUCCAAGAACCAUCUUUCUUAGGCACUAAAAUUAUAGGUACAACACAAGGACUUAAACUUUCACGAACAAAACCUUUAUCAAGAAGUUCUUGCACUUGCCUUUGUAUCUCCUUUGUUUCUUCUGGAUUGGUUCGGUGUGGUGGUCGAUUAGGUAAUGCAGCUCCUGGAAUGAGAUCAAUUUGAUGUUCAAUCCCACGAAUUGGAGGUAGUCCCGCCGGUGUUUCUUCUGAAAGACAUCUCCAUAGUCCUGCAAAAGAUGAGACACAACACUAGGAAGAGAGGUCAUGUCGUUAGCUGAAAUUAAAAUGUCUUUGUACACAAGUACAAAGAGCACUUGUUCAGGGUUGUUCCUCACUUCUUGUUGGCAUUUCUUAACGUCAUCACUUAGAACAGGGUUUAAUCCGUCCUCAGCAACGAUGUCAGAAAUGUCGUGAUAACACUUACUAAUGCAAUAACCAAGAUUAGAGUAUAAAUCUAUCUUAAGCAACGGUGCCAGAAAUGCUUGUUAGCAUUUCUUAGUGUCGCUACCUAGAAUUGGGUUCUGCUCUACUCAUGAUAAUGACAUUGGCAGUGUUAUAUUGGCAGAUCCGUAGCAUCACCACCUUGAAUAGGAAGCUAGAUCUACCUUCCCGAUAAUGGCGCCUUAUUACCGUUAGGGUAGGGUUCCAGUUCUUAAUCAUGGUAGUGGCACUAGGAUUGCCAUGUUGGUAUUCCUUAACAAGUCACUAGCUCGGCGCAUGUCUAGCAAUAGUGUUAAGUAUAUACCGGGGUGAUAGUUCCUUAGGUUUGGAGUUUAAGUACCGCAAGCGGACGGGAAUUAUCGUGUAGCAUUUCAACCCUGGGAUUUACCGAGUGUCGUAUUUAUAAGUUCGCUCUAAGGAAGGCUUAAUAUGUUAAGGAUUCUAAGAUAAGCAUAGAUCAAAGUAAUUAUGAUAGAAAAAAUGGAAUCAAAGGUCAUAGCAGGUGAUAAACAUUUAUAUGUAGAAUAGUGAUCCAUCACAAUCUAGGCAUGGCAUAUGGGCUAAGGAAUAAAAAGAGACUAAAAGAAUGAAUUGAAUCAAAGAAUAAACAAACAACCUAUUGGAGCAGGUGUGGUCCUAGAUACAUAUCAUGUCAUAGAACAAGUUAAUCAUGUAAUUAUACUACUUAGAUCUAGUCCUGUGUUUAGAUGGUUUGCAAGGUUACGCGAGUACUGUUCUGCCAGCAACCUCCGCAACUAUUUAGACUCCUACACCCUAGCCGAACGUGGGGGAAUGCCAAGGACGGACAGGGCUGUGACCACCUGCCGCCAUCCCCUCAACCGUGGACUAGGACAAUGCAUUUACCCGGCCUUUACACCCAAGCACCAUGCUUACAUGCAAAGAACCUACUCGGACUCCCCCGGGUCCCCGAACCUACGGAUCAACAGGUAAGAAGCCCGAGCCUACUCAAAAGAGCAUGAUAAACCCCCAUCUUCACACAAAGCUAUUUCUAGGCAAUUAAUUAACAUGUGUUGACGGUCCUUAAUGCUCACAUUUAACCGUCAACUAAUCAUAGAAAAGGAUCCAAAUGCAACCAACACCUAGACUUAGGGUUUUAUCUGACAGAAUUCCACGAGUUUUGGUGUUUGUCUAUUUCUGCAGGUGGUUAUCAGGAAAUAAGGAAGAAAGGCCCACACGUCGGGUUUACAUAGAGAUAUUAACGUGUCGCGCAAUUUUCUAUCAUCUAGAAGACUCCAGAAGCCACGAGAACAAAGCGAAAGCUGAGAGGCCUUAGGGAUAGGGCGCCCGCCCUAGUCCUGAGGGCGCCCGCCCACCUUUUUCCACCAAACAGAGUCCAAUUUGGGGACAACACUCCACCGACCUAAAGGAUCAAGGAAAACCGUGCGAUUAAUGUCGGUUUGAUCCAAUGGCCCAUAUUCACUUGAAGGGACUUUAAAACCAGACCCCCUGGCCCCUGGAGAUUGUUGGGUAUUCUUAACAUCAUUACCAAAAGUAGACUAAGUUCUCUAAAUCUAGUAACGGUGCCAAAAAUGCUAAACCUAUCCCUCACACCACUUAAGCCAAGUUGUCAUCCCCAGCAUGAUAUAAGAGACGCGGUAUUGAAAUAUGCAAUUGCUCUUCUAAAUAAAUAAUGAAUUGGAUCUGCAAGCGCACAGAUUAAUACCGAUGUAGCAUUUUAACCGGGAAGUAUUCCAGGUAUCGUUAUUUAUAUUUUUACCACUGGGAAGGGAUUAGCAAUCAUCACUAAUGAUUACAGAAUAGAAUAUGAGAUUGAGCAUCUGUUGGGUAUUCUUAACAUCAUUACCAAAAGUAGACUAAGUUCUCUAAAUCUAGUAACGGUGCCAAAAAUGCCAAACCUAUCCCUCACACCACUUAAGCCAAGUUGUCAUCCCCAGCAUGAUAUAAGAGACGCGGUAUUGAAAUAUGCAAUUGCUCUUCUAAAUAAAUAAUGAAUUGGAUCUGCAAGCGCACAGAUUAAUACCGAUGUAGCAUUUUAACCGGGAAGUAUUCCAUGUAUCGUUAUUUAUAUUUUUACCACUGGGAAGGGAUUAGCAAUCAUCACUAAUGAUUACAGAAUAGAAUAUGAGAUUGAGCAUCUAUCAUUGCAUGUAUAAUUGAGAACAUUAUAUCUAACUCUUCAUACAGGGAUAAGUGUCACAUAAAAGAUAUAUGAAAUAAUAAUAGUGACAAGGAUAACUAAUCUGAUCUAGCCACAUAAUAAAUAUGAUAAGCACCUCAAUUAGAUACUCUAGAAAGUCAUUACAUUGGUAUUAGAACGAACUACAAGAAUAUUCCCUAAGUUAUUCUCAACUAUAUAGUCUAGCAUAUCAUAGUUAGUGCAAGCAUACUUAGCAAUCAUUGCGAGACAAGACUACGCCCAUGCAUAGUGAUAUUAGCAAGGAAUAUGAGAAACAUAGCAAUCACUCCCCUGUAAUAAUGUUGCUCUGCCAGCCCAAUACACGAGAGGGGAACUAUAUAAGAAUCAAUGAAGCUGUCACUAUCACGAACCACCCCACGAUCUGGCAUAUUGGGUACAAUCACAGAUAAAUACGGUAUAAGCACCACGCCUACACAAUAUCUAUCAUUUACCCAUGGAUCCGAUGGAUAAACGCUAUACGAUCCUAAGCAUGUAUAUAGAUCCAAUCUAACUAAGCCAAGUACAUAACUAUGAUAAACUAAGAACAAUAUAAUCUUGAAUAUAAGCAAGCAGAGCAAAGUCAUAAGCAAUAUAUUGAAGUAGAACAAAGUCAUAUUCAUAAUAUUGAAGAACAAAGAUAAUUAGAAAGCAAUUAGAAGCACAAUUAGAGAAUUACCAAGAAUCCUCUUGACAGAUCCGGAAACCAAUCGAAGAUUGACUCCUUCUAGUUCUAAUCCUAUGUAGCUAUGCUAAUCUAGAUAUCUAAUUGAUGUGGUGGCUCUAAUCUUGAUCAGAGGCUUCUUCUCCCUUGAUGGAACAAUGAAUUAGGGUUGAGAGGCUCCCUCCUCCAGGGGCCAGGGGGUCUGGUUUUAUAGUCCCUUCAAGUGAAUAUGGGCCCUUGGAUCAAACCGACAUUGAUUGUAUGGUUUAGAUUCAUCCUUUAGGUCGGUGGAGAUCUCCCGCAAAGCAGAGUCCUGAUUGGACUCAGGAGGUGGGCGGGCGCCCUGACCAACUGGGCGGCCGCCCAGGGUCUGGCCCCGUUUCGCCUCCGCUUCGGUCUCGUGGCUUCUGGAGUCUUCUAGAUGUAAGAUAAUUGCGCAGCACGUUAAUACCUUUACGUAAUCCUGACAUGUGGGCCUUUCUUCCAUAUUUCCUGAUAACCCCCUGCAGAAAUAGACAAACACCAAAACUCGUGGAAUUCUGUCAGAUAAAACCCUAAGUCUGGAUCUUGAUUUCAUUUGGAUCCUUUUCUUUAUUUAUUUGAUAAUUAAAUUUGAUACUUAAGGACCGUCAACAAACUCCCCCAAGCUUACCUCUUGCUCGUCCCUGAGCAAGGAUAGACUCAGCAAUGGAUCAUAAGUAGUUGCAAUAUCUUUAAAAAUUGACGGUACACAUGCUUUUUAAAUAAGAUCUCAUCUCUGAGUUAGAGUAAACUGUCAAGACUUAAAACUUACUUACUUUACCUUCACCAUGGGACUUGUAACUGUCACUUCCGUCUUGAGUGGUUAAAAGAUAGAACAGUCUAGCCAAGUGCCAUGUCUCUUAUUCUUGAUCAUCUAUAGCUCUGGGGUUUUUGCAGAUUUUCAAAUAAAACUCAGAGAUUCCUUGUAUGAUUCUCUCAGAUCUCUCUUUUGUGGUAUUUUUGGAUCCUUACCAAGGCAUUGAUGGUAUAUGCCUUCUCUCAAGAUAUGUAGUAUUUGUGGUAUAAGGCAUAGUGACAUUGCCUUCUCUCUCACCCUACUCUAAUAAGGCUUUAAUAUCUGGAGCUCAUAGGUGGGAGAUAAAGUAUACAUACUCACAGGACAUUUAUUGCAUAGUCAAACCAUGGAUCCAAAGAAACAAAUCAAUAAGCCAAAUCAAGAUGUGCAUGUGUGGCGAAUGAAUGGUGUAUGGUGAUGAUGGUGAUAACAAUGGUGAAAACAAUGGUGGUGGAAGUCUAAUUCUACUUUGCUCUUUUUAGGGGAUACAUACCUUCCUUGCUUUUGAAACUUUAUGAGGAGAAUGAGAUGCUCUUCUUUUUCUUGUCUCUGAGGUGGGUAUCUUGUACCCCUAAUUCUACUGUCGGACAGUUGUCCAUUUUUACCUCUCGUCUCACUCUUUCUUUUCUUUCGAGGUUCCGAGCACUUGCUCCUUUUUAUUUUCUCGUAUAUUUUUUUUAUUUUCUUCUUUUUUUUAGAGCACUCAUCUCUUGAGAUAAUAUAGCAAGUGGUAGUAACAAGAUAACUUGAGCAUUUAUUUCACAAGGGGAAACAGAAAUAUUUUUGGUUAUUCUCUCCCGGAUUAGGAGUAGAAUAUUUUUAGGUGGUUCUGGAGAUGGAAAUGGAUGGAUAUAUGUGGAUGGUACUUCCGGAGUAGAAGUAGCAUAUAUGAGUGAACGUGCAAGUGAAAUCUUGAUUUAACCACAUGACAAGCUCCUAAGGGUCUACACAGCUUGACCACACUCAAUGCUCAUAAGCAGUAAAUAAUAAAUGUGUGGCUCAAAGUCUAGCAAGCAUGUAUAUAUGGCGGUGGUAGGAAUUUAAGCUCUCAUCAUACAGGAACUCAUCAUGCAACAUUUUAAAGAUUUUCAAAGAUAAAAUUCUCCAGAAUUCUAGCAUCUCUAGGAACAGAUAAACAGCAGCUCAACCUUCCCAUAUCGUAUCCGUUAACAACUUAGACUUCAGAUCAAGUUUUCAUCCCACAAGUUUAGGUCUAGGGCAAGCUUUAAAUUAUAACAGUUAUAUCUAAACUUGAGAGAGAACUUAGAAUGUGCAAAUUAGGUAGAGCAACUAUUCAUCAUAUCCAUGCUUAAGUUUUUGUUUAGAUACAGAUUAGCAUAGCCACUUUAUUUAUUUAUUAAACACACUAAGCAAAAGACAUAUAUAAGCAUAAAAUCUUUAUUUGGUUUUCCCAUAGUUUAUGUGUAUUUUAAUAUUCUAAAAUAAUAUAAGUAUAAAAAUAGAUAGAAAUACUUAUCGAGGUAAAUGGGGGUUUUCCCAUAGUUUAUGUGUAUUUUUAUUUUCUUUUUAGGAUAGUGCGAACAUGAUUAACUAAGUAAACUAGUUGAAAUAAUUAAAAGGGAAAGGAUAACUACUAAGUUUACCUCUUGGCAGGGCGUUCGGUGUUUUUAAGUCCUCCGAACGGGACUCUCCAAUUUCUUAAUCGUCCUGAGGUUCGUUGGGUGGCGAAGUCGUUACUUCUGGCAGCGCCUCCUCUUCUUGUAUAGUUAUCUUCAUUUUCCAUACCUGACUCGAUGCUUCAAUCUCCUCUGGAUAAUUCUGUUUAAACUCCACGUCUUCUGACCUUACAACUUCUCCUUCAUAGUCUGCCCAUCCGUCCUUGAUGAUCUGCCUCCUCUGGUUGCGGUUGCGUCUCUUUCUGACCUGCUUAGAUUCUUCAAUGAUAUAGUUAGGGUCAGUAAAAUAACGGCGUACCUUCUCUGAGGGGAAGUGCAUAUGGACUUCUCCGGUUCCAAUGUAGAUAAUUGCUUUAACGGUGCUGAGGAACGGUCUUCCAAGGAUGAUGGGUGGAUCGUACUCGUCUUCUCCUAUGUCAAUAACUUGAAAGUCUGUGUAGACAAAGUGAUCGUCUAUUUUGACUCGGACAUCGGAUAUUAUUCCUUGAACUUCUCGAAAUGUCUGAUCUGCCAUCUGGAGCUGAAUGUAUGUUGGUCUUAGUGGCAUGGUCCCGAACAAGAGCCGAUAAGUGACUGCGGCCAUUAUGUUGACGCCCGAUCCGGUGUCGCAAAUCGUCUUGUAGAAGUUAUAUCCAUUUACGGAGCAGUAGAUGCUUGGCAUUCCUGGGUCGUCCUUCUUGGUCAAACACGGUGACUUAAGUUGGUGAUCUUGGCCUCCAUGGACUACAGUGACCAUCUUAGCUGACUCGGUCCAUACUUGCUUGUUCCUAUUUCUCCUGUUGGUCCUCUUCCUUGAUUCACGUCUGGAUUGAUCUGGAAUUCGUGUAGUCUUGUUCUUGAAGAAAAAUGUCUCCUUGUAAGGACCUUGAUGUCGCCUAGAGGGGGGUGAAUAGGCGUACCAAAAAAACCUGAAACUCAAAACUCAAGUUGCGGAAGUUAAAUGCCUGUCGGUACCACCGACAGUUUGGGCCGGUACUACUGGUGUAAGACAGCCAGUACUACCGACGCAACUGUUGGUACUACCGACGCCCUAAGAGGGCUACGAAAUCAGAGUAUUUUGAGUUUCUAUUCCAGAUGUGAGAGUUACCCCACUCUCCUAGAUGUAGUAGAGGAUGAUGUUGAAGUUCCCUUGGCUUGGUUCUUCUCCAAAACAUAGAUCGGCCCUUGUUCACCUAUGAACGGGGUAGAUAGGAAGAACACAAAAAACACAAGAACAAGGGUAGUCGAAGCUACCUCCACAGCAAGACAUGAUAUUUAUCCCGUGGUUCAGCUCGCCACCAAGGCUUGCCUAUGUCCACGUUGUUGAGGAAGCCACACAGGCUUUUCGGGUCUCUUUCAACCCUAUCCUCGUUCUCAAGUCAAGAGAGCAAUCCCUUGAGAUGAGGGGUGAUUUCACUAGGUGAUUUGAGUGACUACAAACCUCCCGAGGCUACCACAUGAGUAGGAAGCUCUACGGGCAAUGCCUAGCCGGCUAGGAGCCUUGCUCCAAGAGUAACAAACACAAAUCCAACCGGCUUGACGAAGAAAUCAAGUGCUCAAGCUUUGCUUUGAUGUUUCUCUCACCAAGAAUCCUUCUCUCACUCAAUCCCUUGCAAGAUUUGAAGUUAGGAGCAAAGGGGAUACACGAGAGGGGCUUUUGGGAGCUAGAGAGGUGCCUUGGCUGAAGGUUUGGUCGAGUGGAAGAGUGAGCCAACGGUUAGAAAGAGGGGAAAGCUAUUUAUACAGGUGUUCAGAACAACUGCCGGUACUACCGGGGCAACCACCGGUACCACCGGCUACCUCAGAUCUAACGGUAAGAAGUCUCUAUGAUUUGCGAGAAAUAAGCCUACCGGUACCACCGGGCUUUUGUCGGUACUACCGACCAUUGCCGGUACCACCGGUGGAAGGCCGGUACCACCGGCAGUUCAAAUCUCCGCAACCAAAGUCAGCGCGGAUUUGGCCUGCCGGUACUACCGACGUUUCACACCGGUACUACUGGUGCUGGCCGGUACCACCGGCCCGAGCCCGGUACUACCGGUAGUUCAUUUUCUUGCAAAACUCAGGAGAAAGGGCUGGCAUUGCCGGUACGACCGGCCCUGAGGGUUGGUACUACCGGGUCACCUUGGCAGAGAAGAAAUUUCGUGAGUGCCUAAGAGUGCAAGUGUUAGAGUGUCUCUCUUUUGAUUAGUUUUAAUACUUGAGCACUCUAUCUUCCUCAAACCAACUAAAUUUGCAUCCCUCUUUAUAGUGCGGCAAAUCCUAAACUCAAGGUCAAAAGUAUAUAACCAAUUUAACCACUUGAGUCUUCAAUGUCUUCAUAUGCCACUUCUUCUCAAUAUCACUUCAUCAAGGAUGCAAUUAACUUUGUCUCAUCUUCUUUGAGUAAAUAUAGCUUGAGCAUGUGACUUUAAUCAUUUCAACAUAUGUGAGUUCAAUCCAUGACUUCAAGUCACUUCCAUUAAAGAUUUUGAUCCUCAACACAAUAUGACUCAUCAUAGCUUAAUUAGUACCUCGACUCAAUGCAAGUACUCUCUUCUUCACCUUAGCCAUGGUACCUCGGUCUACAAGCCAUUGCUUGACCUUCACCUUCGCUUAGUCCCUCGAAGCCUUUUCCUUGCUAUCUUCACUCUAUCAAGCCAUACUCAAGUCACAUCAUGUUAAGCAUCCAUUGAAAAAUUGUUUCUUCAAUAUUGUGAUUCUUGCUUGAAUAUCUUCUUGAUAUGAGCGUUAACAUUAAACAAGCUUCAGUUUACACCAACACACAACUUUGGUCUUCAUUUGAACAAUGUGUGAAAUACCAUCAAGUUUGCUUUCUUGUUGACCCUUUGAUACACUUAGCAAACUUGUUAGACCCUUAAUUGUGUUGUCAUUCAAUUCACCAAAACCCACUAAAGGGCUAGAUGCACUUACACUCCUUCUUCCCUUUGACGUAUAAACUGAUCUUGGCAGCUCUGGCGUAGAUGAUAGCUCCUGUGGUGUUCAAAAAUGGCCUUCCUAGGAUGAUAGGUGCUCUCUCAUCAUUUCCGGUCUCUACCACUACGAAGUCUGCUGGGGCAUACAAGGUACCAACUCGGACACAAAGGUUCCUCACUAUUCCUUUUGGAAAAGUUAUCGUCUGAUCUGCAAACUGCAAACACAUGGUUGUCUCUAAUAAAGGAUAUGUAAAGAAUUUCUCAUAGAGUACCCUGGGUAUAAUGUUGACGCUAUAGCCAAAGUCAUAGAGUGCUUCUGGAACAUCCACCAUGCCGAUGGAGAUCGGGAUGACGGGGCGUCCUGGAUCGCCUCUCUUGACCGGCAGACGGUCAGUAGAAAAUUCAGUGACGGGGUUACUCCAAUUACCUGCAUGAAACAUGUCUACAAGAUUUGCAGAUUCUAAUCCUUCCGUUUGUGAUGGUAUACCGGGGUUAGUAGUAGGAACAGCAGCAACUAUUUGAUUUAACUGAGAUUCAAUCAUUUUAUUAAAGCUAAUUUGAUUCUUGAUGGCAGUAGAGAAAUUAUCCAUUCUAUUAUUUAUAUUUUCUAGCAUUUUAUCAUUUGAUGCCAAUUUCUUAGACAGGUUAUCCAUUAGCUUUCCUUGAUUAGACACUAACUCUCUCAAAGGUGGAAAAUUAUUAUUAUUGUUGUAAGAAUUGUUACCUUGAUAAUUACCUGAGUAGUUAGGCCUCUGUUGAUUCCAACCUUGAUUUUGUUGAGGACGGUUGUAGUUGUUGUUGUUGUUGUUGAUGUAGUUCACAUCCUCAAGCAUCUUAGGGCAGUGGUUGCCUGAGUGUCCAGUGUCUCCACACUCCUCACAAGCCAAAAAUGCUUGUUGGGUAUUCUUAACAUCAUUACCAAAAGUAGACUAAGUUCUCUAAAUCUAGUAACGGUGCCAAAAAUGUCAAACCUAUCCCUCACACCACUUAAGCCAAGUUGUCAUCCCCAGCAUGAUAUAAGAGACGCGGUAUUGAAAUAUGCAAUUGCUCUUCUAAAUAAAUAAUGAAUUGGAUCUGCAAGCGCACAGAUUAAUACCGAUGUAGCAUUUUAACCGGGAAGUAUUCCAGGUAUCGUUAUUUAUAUUUUUACCACUGGGAAGGGAUUAGCAAUCAUCACUACUGAUUACAGAAUAGAAUAUGAGAUUGAGCAUCUAUCAUUGCAUGUAUAAUUGAGAACAUUAUAUCUAACUCUUCAUACAGGGAUAAGUGUCACAUAAAGGAUAUAUGAAAUAAUAAUAGUGACAAAGAUAAGUAAUCUGAUCUAGCCACAUAAUAAAUAUGAUAAGCACCUCAAUUAGAUACUCUAGAAAGUCAUUAGCAUGGUAUUAGAACGAACUACAAGAAUAUUCCCUAAGUUAUUCUCAACUAUAUAGUCUAGCAUAUCAUAGUUAGUGCAAGCAUACUUAGCAAUCAUUGCGAGACAAGACUACGCCCAUGCAUAGUGAUAUUAGCAAGGAAUAUGAGAAACAUAGCAAUCACUCCCCUGUAAUAAUGUUGCUCUGCCAGCCCAAUACACGAGAGGGGGACUAUAUAAGAAUCAAUGAAGCUGUCACUAUCACGAACCACCCCACGAUCUGGCAUAUUGGGUACAAUCGCAGAUAAAUACGGUAUAAGCACCACGCCUACACAAUAUCUAUCAUUUACCCAUGGAUCUGAUGGAUAAACGCUAUACGAUCCUAAGCAUGUAUAUAGAUCCAAUCUAACUAAGCCAAGUACAUAACUAUGAUAAACUAAGAACAAUAUAAUCUUGAAUAUAAGCAAGUAGAGCAAGGUCAUAAGCAAUAUAUUGAAGUAGAACAAAGUCAUAUUCAUAAUAUUGAAGAACAAAGAUAAUUAGAAAGCAAUUAGAAGCACAAUUAGAGAAUUACCAAGAAUCCUCUUGACAGAUCCGAAAACCAAUCGAAGAUUGACUCCUUCUAGUUCUAAUCCUAUGUAGCUAUGCUAAUCUAGAUAUCUAAUUGAUGUGGUGGCUCUAAUCUUGAUCAGAGGCUUCUUCUCCCUUGAUGGAACAAUGAAUUAGGGUUGAGAGGCUCUCUCCUCCAGGGGCCAGGGGGUCUGGUUUUAUAGUCCCUUCAAGUGAAUAUGGGCCCUUGGAUCAAACCGACAUAGAUUGUAUGGUUUAGAUUCAUCCUUUAGGUCGGUGGAGACUUCCCGCAAAGCAGAGUCCUGAUUGGACUUGGGAGCAGGGCGGGCGCCCAGUAGGACAGGGCGGGCGCCCUGUCUCUAGCCCUGAUUCGCCUCAGCUUCGGUCUCGUGGCUUCUGGAGUCUUCUAGAUGUAAGAUAAUUGCGCAGCACGUUAAUACCUUUACGUAAUCCUGACAUGUGGGCCUUUCUUCCAUAUUUCCUGAUAACCCCCUGCAGAAAUAGACAAACACCAAAACUCGUGGAAUUCUGUCAGAUAAAACCCUAAGUCUAGAUCUUGAAUUCAUUUGGAUCCUUUUCUUUAUUUAUUUGAUAAUUAAAUUUGAUACUUAAGGACCGUCAACAAACUCCCCCAAGCUUACCUCUUGCUCGUCCCUGAGCAAGGAUAGACUCAGCUAUGGAUCAUAAGUUGUUGCUAUAUUUUAAAAUUUUGACGGUACACAUGCUUUUAAAUAAGAUCUCAUCUCUGAGUUAGAGUAAACUGUCAAGAUUUAAAACUUACUUACUUUACCUACACCAUGGGACUUGUAACUGUCACUUCUGUCUUGAGUGGUUAAAAGAUAGAACAGUCUAGCCAAGUGCCAUGUCUCUUAUUCUUGAUCAGCUAUAACUCUGGGGUUUUUUGCAGAUUUUCAAAUAAAACUCAAAGAUUCCUUGUAUGAUUCUCUCAGGUCUCUCUUUUGUGGUAUUUUUGGAUCCUUACCAAGGCAUUGAUGGUAUAUGCCUUCUCUCAAGAUAUGUAGUAUUUGUGGUAUAAGGCAUAGUGACAUUGCCUUCUCUCUCACCCUACUCUAAUAAGGCUUUAAUAUCUGGAGCUCAUAGGUGGGAGAUAAAGUGUACAUACUUACAAGACAUUUAUUGCAUAGUCAAACCAUGGAUCCAAAGUAACAAGUCAUUAAGCCAAAUCAAGAUGUGCAUGUGUGGCGAAUGAAUGGUGUAUGGUGAUGAUGGUGAUAACAAUGGUGAAAACAAUGGUGGUGGAUGUCUAAUUCUACUUUGCUCUUUGAGGGGAUACAUACCUUCCUUGCUUUUGAAACUUUAUGAGGAGAAUGAGAUGCUCUUCUUUUUCUUGUCUCUCAGGUGGGUAUCUUGCACCCCUAAUUCUACUGUCGGACACUUGUCCAUUUUUACCUCUCGUCUCACUCUUUCUUUUCUUUCGAGGUUCCGAGCACUUGCUCCUUUUUAUUUCCUCGUAUAUUUUUUUUAUUUUCUUCUUUUUUCUAGAGCACUCAUCUCUUGAGAUAAUAUAGCAAGUGGUAGUAACAAGAUAACUUGAGCAUUUAUUUCACAAGGGGAAACAGAAAUAUUUUUGGUUAUUCUCUCCCGGAUUAGGAGCAGAAUAUUUUUGGGUGAUUCUGGAGAUGGAAAUGGUUGGAUAUAUGUGGAUGGUACUUCCGGAGUAGAAGUAGCAUAUAUGAGUGAACGUGCAAGUGAAAUCUUGAUUUAACCACAUGACAAGCUCCUAAGGGUCUACACAGCUUGACCACACUCAAUGCUCAUAAGCAGUAAAUAAUAAAUGUGUGGCUCAAAGUCUAGCAAGCAUGUAUAUAUGGCUGUGGUAGGAAUUUAAGCUCUCAUCAUACAGGAACUCAUCAUGCAACAUUUUAAAGAUUUUCAAAGAUAAAAUUCUCCAGAAUUCUAGCAUCUCUAGGAACAGAUAAACAGCAGCUCAACCUUCCCAUAUCGUAUCCGUUAACAACUUAGACUUUAGAUCAAGUUUUCAUCCCACAAGUUUAGGUCUAGGGCAAGCUUUAAAUUAUAACAGUUAUAUCUAGACUUGAGAGAGAACUUAGAAUGUGCAAAUUAGGCAGAGCAACUAUUCAUCAUAUCCAUGCUUAAGUUUUUGUUUAGAUACAGAUUAGCAUAGCCACUUUAUUUAUUUAUUAAACACACUAAGCAAAAGACAUAUAUAAGCAUAAAAUCUUUAUUUGGUUUUCCCAUAGUUUAUGUGUAUUUUAAUAUUCUAAAAUAAUAUAAGUAUAAAAAUAGAUAGAAAUACUUAUCAAGGUAAAUGGGGGUGCUCUCCCCCAAGCUGAAUUUUGACGUAAUUUCUCUUAAUGUAGCUAGCAGGUGGCAGAGGUGUAUUUGAAAGUCAGCAGUAUUCUGACAGCGAUUAGAAUGUCCUCCGUCUGCCAGUCUUCUUGAUUCUUAAAUUCUGUGGAGCUCAAAUAGACAACAAAGCUUGUGGAACUGAUUAAGUGUUAGCAUAAAUAUCUAGCCUUUAUUAUCUUGAGACUCCUCAAUAAAUAUUACUCCCUGUUUUUAUAUUUUUUUAUUUUAUAAAGCAGAAAUGAAAUUUUUAUUUUAUUUUUAUGCCACCACAGUGAAUGUAUUUAUGGGUUUUAUGCCACUCGUAUACUCACAUGGGGCUUACUGUUUUUUCACAUUUUUAUUUUCUUUUUAGGAUAGUGCGAACAUGAUUAACUAAGUAAACUAGUUGAAAUAAUUAAAAGGGAAAGGAUAACUACUAAGUUUACCUCUUGGCAGGGCGUUCGGUGUUUUUAAGUCCUCCGAACGGGACUCUCCAAUUUCUUAAUCGUCCUGAGGUUCGUUGGGUGGCGAAGUCGGUACUUCUGGCAGCGCCUCCUCUUCUUGUAUAGUUAUCUUCAUUUUCCAUACCUGACUCGGUGCUUCAAUCUCCUCUGGACAAUUCUGUUUAAACUCCACGUCUUCUGACCUUACAACUUCUCCUUCAUAGUCUGCCCAUCCGUCCUUGAUGAUCUGCCUCCUCUGGUUGCGGUUGCGUCUCUUUCUGACCUGCUUAGAUUCUUCAAUGAUAUAGUUAGGGUCAGUAAAAUAACGGCGUACCUUCUCUGAGGGGAAGUGCAUAUGGACUUCUCCGGUUCCAAUGUAGAUAAUUGCUUUAACGGUGCUGAGGAACGGUCUUCCAAGGAUGAUGGGUGGAUCGUACUCGUCUUCUCCCAUGUCAAUAACUUGAAAGUCUGUGUAGACAAAGUGAUCGUCUAUUUUGACUGAGACAUCAGAUAUUAUUCCUUGAACUUCUCGAAAUGUCUGAUCUGCCAUCUGGAGCUGAAUGUAUGUUGGUCUUAGUGGCAUGGUCCCGAACAAGAGCUGAUAAGUGACUGCGGCCAUUAUGUUAACGCCCGAUCCGGUGUCGCAAAUCGUCUUGUAGAAGUUAUAUCCAUUUAUGGAGCAGUAGAUGCUUGGCAUUCCUGGGUCGUCCUUCUUGGUCAAAAACGGUGACUUAAGUUGGUGAUCUUGGCCUCCAUGGACUACAGUGACCAUCUUAGCUGAAUCGGUCCACACUUGCUUGUUCCUGUUCCUCCUGUUGGUCCUCUUCCCUGAUUCACGUCUGGAUUGAUCUGGAAUUUGUGUAGUAUUGUUCUUGAAGAAAAAUGUCUCCUUCUUUCCUUUGAUGUAGAAACUGAUCUUGGCAGCACUAGCAUAGAUGAUAGCUCCCGUGGUGUUCAAAAAUGGCCUUCCUAGGAUGAUAGGUGCUCUCUCAUCAUUUCUGGUCUCAACCACUACGAAGUCUGCUGGGGCAUAUAAAGUACCAACUCGGACACAAAGGUUCCUCACUAUUCCUUUUGGAAAAGUUAUCGUCUGAUCUGCAAACUGCAAACACAUGGUUGUUUCUAACAAAGGAUAUGUAAAGAAUUUCUCAUAGAGUACCCUGGGUAUAAUGUUGACGCUAGAGCCAAAGUCACAGAGUGCUUCUGGAACGUCCACCAUGCCGAUGGAGAUCGGGAUGACGGGGCGUCCUGGAUCGCCUCUCUUGACCGGUAGACGGUCAGUAGAAAAUUCAGUGACGGGGUUACUCCAAUUACCUGCAUCAAACAUGUCUACAAGAUUUGCAGAUUCUAAUCCUUCCGGUUGUGAUGGUAUACUGGGGUUAGUAGUAGGAACAGCAGCAGCUAUUUGAUUUAACUGAGAUUCAAUCAUUUUAUUAAAGCUAAUUUGAUUCUUGAUGGCAGUAGAGAAAUUAUCCAUUCUAUUAUUUAUAUUUUCUAGCAUUUUAUCAUUAGACACCAAUUUCUUAGAUAGAUUAUCCAUUAGCUUUCCUUGAUUAGACACUAACUCUCUCAAAGGUGGAAAAUUAUUAUUAUUGUUGUAAGAAUUGUUACCUUGAUAAUUACCUGAGUAGUUAGGCCUCUGUUGAUUCCAACCUUGAUUUUGUUGAGGACGGUUGUAGUAGUAGUUGUUGUUGUUGUUGAUGUAGUUCACAUCCUCAAGCAUCUCAGGGCAGUGGUUGCCUGAGUGUCCAGUGUCUCCACACUCCUCACAAGUCAUGUGAGAGUCGUAGAUGUGCAUAACUUCUUUCUUGUCUCUAGCUCUAUCGUCGAGCUUCUUCAUGAGCAGGUCUAGCUUUGCAGACAGCAUGCCUACCUCCUUGAGCUGAUGUAUACCUCCACCUCUCUUGCGUGUCUGGGUCCUCUCUUCAUUCCAGCUUUGGUUGGACGCCAUCUUCUCCACAAGAGCUGUGGCUUGUGGUAUAGUAAGUGAUAAGAAUGCUCC